rnacentral:lncRNA from 1 species
AAAAAGAAAAAGAAAAAGGCUAAGUACAAAAAAAUUGCAAAUUCCAUUUGAUUGCCUAGGUUGGAGAUAACCACUACUUUAAAGGUUUUAAAGAAUCAUAAAUCUCUAUUCUAAAUUAAUAAUAAUAAAAUAAAUUAUGAGGUAUUUUUAUUUUUUUGGAGAUUACUUAAUAAAUAAAUAAAUAUAUAUAUAUAUAUAUAUAUAUAUAUAGAAAUGGUCAAAUUACACAAAAUUAAGAGACUAAUAGUAGUAAAAUAGUUUGCAACUUAUUGACAUUAUGAAAAAAAAAAAAAAAACCCAAAAGAACCCAAAAGAACCAAAACCAAACAAACCAUUCCAAUCCUCUAUGUAGAAAUUCAGUUUCAUUUCAGUAUUAUUCAAUGUAUGUAUGUGCGUGUCAUUCACACUCUCACUCUUAUAUACACUCUCACUAUCAACCCAAUUCAACCAGCCCACAAGUGCUCUGGUGAUGGUUUCUAACCACCUUCCAAGCCAAGGAGACAAUGGCCAUGUCAUCUUCAUCCACGACAACAAAAAUAACAACAGCAGCAGCAGCAAAGGGGGAUGUCUGAUUGUCGAGAGCAGCUCUUUUGGUCUGGCACGUUCCAAAGUGGAAUGUCACCCUCACCAGCGCAUUCUGUGGAGAGAAACUGGCACUCACUCUUUUGUGUCCAGUGUGGAGAUUCCAACAUGGAUUCAUGAGCUUUGAAUUCUCUCUUGAAAAGACCCACUCAGCAAUGCACAAAUGAGGCUAACAAUGGGAGAAUGUCAACCUCAUUGGGCAGCAGUUCAUUGGGGAGACACAGUCCUACUUGUUUGGCUCAUCUAGGCUACUGUGGUUUCCACAUUGUCCAUGCUCCACUGGUACUACCUUUGUGGAAAUUGUUAGCCUGGAUCCAUCCAAAUAAAUAAAUAAAAUUGUGAAUAAAUAACAUUUUUAUUGAAACACCUAGAGUCUUCUUGUGUUUUAUUUUAUUAGGUUAGAUUUUAUGGUUUGGAUUAAAGUUGCCCACCUCUUUGGGGAAAAUUGCAAUCCUUUUUGGUGUUAUUUGCCACCUUCUCAUAGCAUGAGGCCAUUUUUGAACUCAACCAACACUCCUUCCAUCCCAUAUGUAGAUGUAUGUAUGUACGUUUGAAAGAAAACUGUGGUAAAAAAAGAAGAAAAUGGGACCUUUUUAAUGAUGGUAACAAGUGCUUCAAAAAAUAAAAUCAAUAAACAAAAAGAGGACAAUGACACACUCCUCAGCUUCUGCUUUUAAUACUAGCCAUCUGCAAAUUUGCCCUCAUAACUCUUCAAUUUUGAUUCUUGUAAAUAUUUGAACAGAGCUGUGUGAUUAUCUGGAUGCAUGCCACACAAGCAAGAGCCACAUCAGCAGCAAUGUUGCUAAAUCAGAGGUGUGAUUGUGGACAAAGUCAUGGAAUAUUCUUUUGAGAGUUUUUCCACCUUUAGGCUUAUGAUUUGCACCCUUUUCCCUGAACAUGGAAUUGGAAGUAUUCCAAUUGGUCUUGUCCAGUGCUGAGGGUGUGAAGGGAGUGAGAGAGUGAGAGAGUGAGAUGAGGCUGCAUUGAGCCGGGUCAGAGGCCCUAUGUUGCUCUUCUUCCCUGCCCCUUUUGUGGGUGUGUGCCUGAAACCAUUAGAUGGAAGGAUGGGCACAUCCAACGGUGGAAAACACUGGAAUGAUUUAUCAUGUACACAGAGAGAGAAUGGGGGGGGGCAUCUUCAGCCAAAAGACUUGGAUAAGGUCCCAUUGUAGCCCCAUCUGUAUGGUGGAAUCUUCUGUUGUACUUUUAGCUGAGCCCCACCCCACAAGCUGAGCAAUAGCAAAAACUUUAUUAGCCACUUCCUAGGGCCCCUCACUACCAUAUUUGGUUGAAACAGAAAUUGGAACCUUGCACAUUUGGAUGACCAUAUGCUGUUCUUUAUGAAUAAACAUGUAAACCCCAAAAAUACACACGGGAAACUUGUAAGUUUUGAGAAUGCAUGCCAAACUAUUAAAAGGUACAUAUUUUACCACAUUUUUUUUUUUGAAACCCAUAAAUAAUAACAAGUUUCCUUAACCAUUGUGCUUACAGAGGACAUGAACCAAUUGGAUGAAGUCCAUGAUUGAAUCAAAUAUCCAAUGUGUAAUAUUAUAUAUUUAUAUAUAUAUAUUUUACAUUCACGUUUUCACACACCUAGAAAUCAGUUCAUCUUAUAUGGUACACACACACAAACACACACUCAUAUAUGAUUUUAAAAUAAGGGCAUGGCUUCAGUACAGAUACCCCUAUCAUUCUUCCUCUUCAUGACUCAUCAACUUCUGUAGCAAACACAAAGUUAAAAAAAAGUACAAAAAAAAAAAAGGGUCAUCAACUUUGCCAGCUGGACUGCUGAUGUGGCACCCCCUCCACCUGCAGAUCCAGAAGGGUGUUUGCCCGAAACAUGGAGACAACGACAACCCAUACCUUCAAAAUUGGGUGGUGGAUGAAAAUAGACGAGAAAUCUUUCUGUGCAUUCUCCAGCUUAAUCUUCCUCAGCUUCUUCUCUGAAAUAACAAUGGUAGAUACUGAAGGCACCUUCAUAACCUUUUGUAUGCCACUACUACUUUGAUUUAGAGUCACAGGGGCAGAGGGUUAUCUUGUCCAAGUUGAGUACUUGUGGACUUCACUAUUCUAUGGAUAAUGUGGACUAAACAAGUAUGAUCAUUGGUGGAAUCAUCCCCUUUUGGAUCUAGGUAACAUUUCUUUGGAGAAAGCUGUUCAAGUGGGGAAUGGGAUAGUGAAUAAUCUUUCAUUUGGAUAAGAAAUGGUAUGAUUCCUUUCCAAAUAUGUAUGUAUGUAUCAAUUAUGAGAACAUGUAAUUGGUAUAUUAUUUUUUAGAAUGUUGUGAGGUAUUGGAAUGCACUUUACACACUUCCUGUAAUUUACCAUGAUUUGGAUGAAAGGGUAGUCAUCAAACCUUUUUAUAACCAUAGUUGGGAAGUAUUUUAUUUUAUAUUUUUGUUGGUGUAUGAGUGUGAUUCUUUUUUUCAAUACAUAGGCACUUGUAAAAGAAAUAUAUUUUCUAGCAGUUUUGUGUGAAAAUAAUUAUGAAAUACAUCUUCUAAACUAAAUUUGAGUGUGGUAAGUGAUUUCAAAUUUUGGUAUUGAUUACAAAUCUUAACUAAUAAUUUAGAUUGCAAACACCAAGUGUUUUCUUUUUUUGGAUAAUAUGCAUCCUUAAAGUUGUUCUUAUUUAUGGGGAUAUAUGUCAAAAAUUCAUUGAAAUAGUUAAUUAUAUUUUACAUUUGAAGUAAUAUAUUAAGUAAUAGCACUAAAGAAGUUUUUUUUUACAGCAACAAAAUCAAUGCACAUUUCAAUUUGGUAUUGUCAGAAUGAAUAACAUGUUGUACAUGCAUCCUCCUUGCUUAUCAACUGGAAUCAAAUUUAGUUAUUUAUCCUAUAUAAAUAAAUAAAAACGUAAAAUUACAGAAGAAAAAAAAAUUAAGUAGGGAACAUACAAUGAAGAAAUAAACAAUGGACAUCAACAGAUCCUUUCAUUAGUCAAGUAAACAAUGGACAUACAUAAAUUUAAUUUUUUUAUCUAUAUAAUAUCUAAUAUAUAUAAACUGAUUAUGAAUUGGAAAAUAGUUCCAAGGACCCAAAUAAAAAUAAUGCAAUGUUAAUCAAAGAUAGAUAAAACUAUUUCCAUGGUCACUGGCACAUAUCCUUCUAGUAUAAUAUAAUACUGAACCAUAGUUUUUUUUUUCCCUUUGUUAUUGAUCACAUUAUCUGUUCAUAGUAAAUCAUGAUCUUAAUUCUUACACCAUGUGUUUGACAACAUUUAAUCCACUUCCUUGGUUUGAGGCCACAGCUUCAAAUUGGCCUCCACUUUUGAAUAGAAGAAUACACACAUUUCUGAUGAUUCUGAAGGUUUUGUUGCAUCUCCAUGGCCUCAUCCCAAAAAACAGCAAGCUGCAGAUGCUGGGAACAAACCACAUGCACUUGGGGGCUCAAUGCCCAAUGUGGCUCUCACUGAGCCUUUCAAGUGAGAAGGAAUCCUUGGUGGUGGCUUUGAAGACUGCAUCCCCCUCCCUCCCUUUUUCCCAUGGAUGAUACCUUGCUUCCAAGUACUAGAGGACUAUUCUUGUCUCCUUGAGCAGUUUUGCAUCUGUGAGAUUAAGUUGUAUAAAAUGGAAUGUGAUAGCCAAACAAGAAAAACAAACAACAACAAAUACAAGAACACAUGCUUGCAGAAUUUUGUAAAAUCAUGUGAAUUUACAGUAUGUGUUUGAGAUGGAACAACCCUGAUUUUAUGUAUUUGUAUAAACCUGUUUUUGUAGUGUUAUGGAGAACAAUGACAUGCAAUUUUCUUGACAAUUGUAUGAUUAAAUGGUUAACCAAUGGAAAUUGUGCAUGAAGUGAAAAAGAAAGCCAAAAAAGUAAAACUGCUUAGAGCCAAUGGUUUUAAUUAUAAUGAUGUGUAGAGAUUAUUCACACCUAUUUUAUGGAAUAAAUAAACAAAUAAAUAUCUUUGAAGAAUCAUGAUGUAUGAUAAUAAUGAUAAUACCAAAAUUACCUAUUUAUUACUAGAUGAUGGUCUAUCUUGUUUCCCUUCUAAUGUUUUUAGCUUUCAUCUAAAAAGCAAUAACAUGAAAUCCAACAUAAACUGGAUUAUGAAAAAUCAAUAACAAUAACAAUGAUAACAACAGUAAUUUAAUUUCUUGUAGCCCACCUCCGAUUAUAUAUUAUUCCCCUUUUAAACUCAUCAAGAAAACAAGAUCGGACUUGGGAUUUGUCUCCUAUGUAAUUGUGCUACUCACACCAUAAUUUUAGCAUGGAUUCAAAGCAACUGGGCAGCAGCCAAUGGCAGCUGACAUCUACUAUCCUCAAACCUGUGAAAAGCUUGUGUAGGGAAGAGUCCCAUAGCCUUCAGUUUAGGACAGCUUUGUAACAACCCUGGACUGAAAAAAAAACAAAAACAAAAACAAAACUAAUGCCAUCAUUGUAGAGAGGAAUCAAAUUUCGGGGUGUGCAGCCACCACAAAAAGGAUGGAUAUAUCAAUAAAAAAAAUAAAUUUACAUGUAAUACAGAUUCAAGGUGGCAUACAAAAGCAUGGGGCUAUUGUAGACUAGAUCUGACACCAGACGUGGACAUGUUAUGUGCCACCUCGAGCUUAGUUCUUAAGCAAAACUCAAAAAGGUGCCAUGAGACGAAAUUCUCAGUCAUUACCCAGUUUGAGAUCCAGUCUGAAAAAAAAUAUUCCGCACAAAAAUAUGCUUUUGAUGGUGGACACACUUUUCAUGAAGAAUAGACAUUUUCAACCAACCUCUCAACCCAGCCUUGAUAUCAUUGAAAACAUGACUGUAUGAACUUGAAGCAUAUCAUUGUUUAUAGCUGAUGCUUCAAAUACUGUCUGAAAUCUCAUGUCAUAGGCUAUUAUUCCCAAAAUCAUAUUGGAAAAGAGGUGAGAAUAAUUAAUCUAGGAUGAAACAGUCCACAAGGUUGUUGUUCAAUCCUACUACAGAGAUAAACUUUAGAAAGUUGAGAAUAAAAUUUUAAAAAAUCAAUGAAAUUUAUAGUUCCUUAUUGACACAUGUAUAGCAACAUUUGAACAUCUUAGAAAGGCCAUGAACAUUAAGGAAUAUGAUAUGUUGGAAGAAUUUUAUUUGUGAAACAGAACUAUCAAUGGUUUAUUUUUUAAUUUUUUUUCUACUAUUUCUUUCUUUCAUACAUUCUCAGUGUAACUCUACACAACACUCCCAAUUAGUUUCCCAUCUUUUUAUUUUAGAUUACACAAUUUUCCAACUUAUUAUUCCAAAAUGUUGAUUUCUUGGAUGUGGGGAAGGUAGGCUCUAAUAUAUCAGUACUCUACAUGGUCACUCUCUUUAAGUCUUAUGUGGGAUAUGCCAAGAGGCCACAUGAUUUAUAGCUCCCUCACUGCAUUGGCUUCCCAAGGCAACACACUCUCAAUUACAAUCCAAACCCACCCACCUCGAAACCACCAGCACAAAUUCAAUUAGUCCAGCCAUUAUGUGAUCACAUGCCCCUCCUACUCUUGGGUGAUGUUGCCUACUGAGAUGGCAAGCUUUCAAGAGGAUGCAUGAUCAAUCACAAUGCCACUGGACUCGGCAAAAUAUAUUCAGCACAGUAUCACAAUGGAAUAGACUCCUUCAAACUAGAAAACCCACCCAACCCUAGUUUUGAAAUGUUCAUUGGGUUUGACCCCAUCUUCCAACCCCUAUCAGUGUGUAUCAGCAGUCCUUGAUCACCCUCCUUAUUUAUUUAUUUAUUUUUGAAAUUUUAAAAGAGAAUUGUUCUCUUGGCAUUAGAGAGAGGAUUAUGUCAGUCUUUCUCUGCCACUGUGCUGGUGGUUAUGUUGAAAGGAAUGGAAGCAGGAGAUGUUGGCAUUUCCUGAAGGAGAUGUUGGCAUUUCCAUGAACCACCACUUGGAUCAGAAACUUCUCACAAGAAAAAAUAAAUAAUAAUAAUAAUAAUAAUAAAAUUCCUUGCACUUAAAAAAAAAAGAAAAAAAAAAGAAAAAAAAGAAAGCAAAAAUCCAUUCAUUCUAGACCCCUUGAUAUGGACAUAGUGUUUACCUGGCCAUAUCAUCACAUGUCUUGUUGAACUUUUCACGUGAAAAGAGCCUCUAGAUCAUAGAAAGAAGAUUGGGCAUUUUGUAGACACAAGCGGUAGUGGAACCAAUUUCAAGAGAGGCCAAUCCAUACUCAGUGUACACCAGCAGCCCCUGUUUUUGUAGCACAAUCAAACUGGGUUUGAAGAGUGGUUUGUUUGUAAGGACUUUCUCUGCUCCAAUAUUUUGAGAUUCAUAAAAAGCUUAUUUGAGGAAGCUGACCCCAUGUGUGCAAAUAAGGAAUGCUGACACAGCAAUGGAGAAGAAACAAACAAGAAAAGGCAGGGAGCACCAAUGCUUGGGCUUGGAAAUGGAGGAAACACUUUGAAUGCAUUCACUAGGUACUUUUGAAAGCUUCCAAGGCUUCUGAAGCUGCUGAUAGCAGUACUGAGGCAGGACUUGCCUACCCCAGUACAUAGUUCAUGAAUGGUACACAAACAAAAAUAUCAAGGAAAAACACACAGGUACAUAAAAAGGAAAAUAUAAAAAAAAUAAAAAAAUAAAGAAGGGGGGGGGGGUGCAAAAGCUGGUCAGGUGUGACAUUUUUUUGUGGUACCAGCUUGGGCACAAACUGGUAACUGGGUUUGAACUGAGAAGCUUGGCUGUCUCCUCACUUUGUGGCAACAUGUGGAAUUUCUCCCCAGUCUUGUGUCAGCUUUGGUCACACAUGUUGUAGAUCCAUAGUUCACCAAGGUUUCUUCAGUCUGCAACAAAGAGGCAUCUUUCUGUGGGCCUCAUUUGUAUCCCAAUUUAUUCAAAGAGGAAAACUUAAAUAAUGUGUAUUUAACAAUUAUAAAUGAGGUUGAGUGCUUGGAAUUUCCGGCUGAGACUGAUCAGUAAUGAACUUGGCUUGUCUGAAACUGUCUCGUUAUAGUUGUUUGAUAUGGACAAUGAAAGUGAAACAGUAGGUUGGAAUAUUUUAGCUGAAGUCUCCUAGGGAGCAAACGUUCAUGUUUUGCAAUUAGGAUUAUGAAAAUACGAACCUGUCGCUACAUAUACACACAAACAAACACACACACAAAAAAAAAAAAAAAAAAAAACAAAACAAAACAAAACAAAACAAAAAACAAAAAAACAAACAAACAAACAAACAAACAAACAAACAAAAACAAAACUGGCACACUAGUGUUAUGUUGGCAGGUGCACCUCAUCUUACUGAGAUUGCUCACAGAUUGCUUCAUUCCUCUAUUUCUGUCGUGGUCAACAGACAUCUCAAGAGAAUUCACAAACAAUGAAUAUUGGAAUUUUGGGCUUAGUAUUCUUUGAGUGUUCAAAAUUUUUGAAACAGACUUGAAGCGAAAGACCAAAAAUAAGAUGGCUUUGAUGCAUGAAAAAAUAAGGAUAAUCCUAUACACGCUCAUUUAACUGCUGAAACAGAUAACUGCUUAAGUCAAUAGAGGUUGCAACUUUAUCUUUCAUGUAUGUGUUUGAUUCCCAAUGGCGUUUUUUAUAUUAUAACUUUAAAUCUGUGCAUGCUCAAACUCAACUAAUUCAAGCACCUUGAUUGCCUGAAGAACUUGGUCAAAUGUGAGUGUUAAGAAAAGAAUAAAGCUAACUUGCAUAUAAAUAAUCUCAAACAGGGUAUUAAAACACUGCUGUAUAAUCUUGGGUUAAGUUCAACAUCAUCUACAUCAAUUGUAUCCACCAUGGGUUCAGAACUAACAUAAAGUUCCUAGCACUAUUCUGACGGAGCAUAUCUCCUACCAACAAGCCUCUCUAUGAGUGAUAUCUGUACAGUUAUACGAGCGGCAGAGUUUGGAACAAGAGUUGGAUUCAACUCGCAUUUCAAGGAUCUGCAUCAUCCCAUGACCUGUUGCCAGAUUGUAAUGGAAAACAGGUUGCAGCAUGAGGUCUCUCUAAGAAUUACAUGUGAUCGUAUUUACGCACAAUGCGUCUACGAUUGUGCGAAUUCAUGCCUAGCAUUGUACAAUCGAUUGUUCAGAGCGAGCAAUGACUCUGGUGUCGCUACUUCCCCAACUAAAUCCUAUCAUCCUGAUCUGAUCUCUGAGAGCGAACAGUCUGUCACACCAUUAAAACUGAGAGCUUCAGGUCGGAAGAUAUGCCGAGUGUUUGGGCCUCCAUAGUUUAGAAUCGUUAAACCUAGACUACAGUCGUCUGCAUCACACCCCAAUGCGAAGUACAUGUAGAGGAUCACUCUCCACGCAAACCAAUUGCGCAAAAUCUGACUGUCAGGAACUGCGUUCCAACGAGGAGACCUGAAACAUGGCCACUUCUGUAGAUCCUUGCACUCUUCGUGCAUUCUAUUUUUUAUGACACAGCUCUCGGAUUACGUCUGACCUUCUAAUCGGUUCAACUGGUAUAAUUCUUCUCCGACUAUUUACAAAGCACUGUCUGAACUCUGUAGGUUGGGACCCAUGUGAUUCCAUUUAAGCCCAUAUUCUAGCUCUUACAUAGCGAAAGUUCCGUAUCGCCCUGGUUCCUUGAGAGUUCAAUGUCGAAAGAUUUGUUCAUAACUUAGUCAGUUUUUCGAAUGACUGCCAAAUACAUGCAGAAGGCCGUAAAGACUACAUAGCAUCUAGGAGCCGUCACAACACCCUACUUUGACGCAGAUAAAAAUCCAUGCCCACUUUGUCAGCUGAAUCUCUCGUUACAGUCUAUGCGUUGCCUAGAAAUGGAUUCACAGCCUUCAAAAUGCAUUGUCAACAAAGAUCAUGAUUUCCUGUUUCGCACACUGAGACCCCAACAAUCGUCACUCAUCCAAACACUAGCCUUUACUGCAUUGAUGUAUAUUCCCUUCCUUGAGAUUGAGUUAAUUCCUGUGGGAAAUCCAAUCAGUACAUCUUCCUUGGAAGUUGAUGAGCAAUAAUCCUUGACAUCGAGGUUCUCAGUUCGAAGGAACCUCACUAUGAAGAGGAAGUCCUUGCAACAUGGUGUCAAAAGUCUAUGUGCAAGGACAGAAAGCAAGAAAAAGAAGGGGAUGGUUCUACAUUAUGACAAGUAUUCCAAGCACACACUUGAACAUACUUCUUCAUAAACUAUCAUCAAUGCAGAUUUUCUAUUACAGAAUUUUACAGAAGCCAUCAUGUUUCUUGUAUUUGUCUAAGAAACGUUGUAGUUUUUGUCUACCAUUUUUGUAUGCUUAAUAUAGACGGAACAUAAUAGGCUUGUUUGUCAUUUAAAUUGCUUUCAUUGGAUUUUAUUGUGGCAAAGGUAACUUUUUGCAAAAUUAUAAAUGCCUUAAUUGGUAAGCAAUUAGGUAUAAUGUAGUCUUUAAGUAAUUUAGUAGAUUCCAUGUUUAGCUUAAUACAAUAGUGACUAAAUUUCAGUUUAAUCAACUUUUUUUUAAAUUAUUCUAUUAUGUAGGUAUAUCUUUUUAUAUGUGUCUUAUUUGUAUGUUUAAUUUAUUAAGAAGCUUCUUACUAUAGAGUAGAGUAUAGAAAAAUUCAAUUAAAAAUAAAACAUCAAUUAAAGAGAAAAUGUAUAUAAUUAGUUCUUAAAUUUUUAACUAUUAUUUUUUUAUUAUGAAAGAGUGCUUAAAAUGGUAGUUAAAAAUGAUGGUUGAAAAAAGUCCAAUUCUAAAUAGAUAACUUGAAUCAAAUCAUUUGAUGUUGGCUAUAUUUUUAUAUAUUUUGGAAAAAUCACUAUACUUUUUAAUGGAUCUAUAAUUAUUUAUCCAUUUUUAAUUUUCAAAUAGAAACCAUUCUUAGAUAUAUUAUACAAAAAUAUUGUAUCAAAAAAAAAAUCUCAAAAUAAAUAGUUUGGUAUAAUGUAUACUUUUAAAAGCUCUUCAACAAAUAAUUAAUUUUUAUUAUACACACCUUUUAGAUACAUAUUAUUGGUCAACUUGUAUACUUUAAUGUUAGACCAAAUCUUUGAUUGUUGCAAAGAAGCAUUAAUAAUCUCUUCUCUUGAGCCUUUAAAGACAAUAAAAAGAAUUUGCUGAAAAUCUCUAUUAAAGACUAUAAUAAUUUUUUCAAGUAACUUGUUAAUGCCAUUUAUGUCUUAGAAAGUUCUAUCAAUUGCAUCAACACAAUAGCAAUAUUACAUUGGUAUCUCAUAUCACUAACAUAUAUAUUUAUUCUAAUAUUUAUCUAUAUGAUUAAGUAGAAGUAGGUAAAAGUAGGUGUAUUUCAUAAUAUUUUCUAAAAAAACUUCAUAAACACUAAUUUGACUUUACUUGUGUUUGUAAUUGAUUAAUAAGUUAGAAACUUAAUCAACAAGUUAACUAUGUAUUGAUAACUUACAAAAUAAGCUAACUAUGUGGUGCACAUAUAAAAAACUUGCCUUGCAAGUUAACAUACUAUCACGGACAUAUAUAUAUUUACCUCAAUAGUUACUUAUAUAAUUGAGUAGAAGUAGGUAAAAUAGAAUAAUUUCAUAAAGUCUUCUAGAGAUGCUUCCUAAAAGCUUCAUAGAUGCGGUUUUGACUUUAGAUGUGUUCAUAGGUUAGAAACUUGGCCAAAAAGCUAACCAUGUAUUGGUGGCUUGUGGAACAAGUUACUUCUGUGUACUAGCUUGUAGAACAAGCCAACUACGUGGCGCAUACAUAGAUAACUUGCCUUGCAAGAUAAGACAUGUGGCUAGCAAAGUCAACACAUAUUGGAGGUCCUAUAGGACAUUGCCACGUGGCUCUUAGUUAGAUAGUAUAUAUUGAGGCAAGAGUGAAGCCUUCUUCACUCUUGUCAAUGCCUUUCUAGUCUUAGUCUUGUUUCAAGACUUUCUAGUCUUCUUGUUUUUGGCAAUAGCCAUUCUAGUUAAUAUUACAUCAUCUUUUGAGUGACUUUCUAGUUCUCUUCAGUAUUAGAAGAGUGUAUUGAGGAUUCUCUUUCUUUGAGAUUCAUAUCCUUGACAGUUUGACAAGAGUGCUAAUAUAUUGUUUGUGUCUUGUUCUAGAAGUGAGUGGAAUACCCUCCUCUAAUUUAACUUUUGAAUUCGUUUGAGUUGUCUAUGGAAGGAAAGAUUAUGGAUGCUACUUUCAAUGGAAGUGAAAAUAGAUUUGCAACUAUAGCAGAUCUUCAUGAGAUUGUCAAUACUCUAAGAGUGAAAAUCUUAUGUAUUUCCAAUGUGAAUCAUGGAAGUACUAUGCCUACGCCUAUGAAAGAAGUUCACAAUCUGCAACAAGAAGUUGUGCAGUUGAAAGAAUCAAGUAGAUCAACAUCACAACCAAAUCUAGUGAAUUUUACUUCUACAAGUACGUCAGGGACAAGGAUUAGUAUGCCUGAGAAGUUUGAUGGAACAAGAUCAAAAUUUUGAGGAUUUUUGCAACAAGUCAAGCUCUAUCUAAGAUUGCAUCCUUUCCAAUAUCCUGAUGGAUUUACCCAAGUCAGAUUUAUAGAUGCACUGCUAUCAGAAAGUGCUUUCUUUUGGUUUGUACCUUUAAUGGAAAAAGAUUCACGACUCCUUUACAAUUUGAAUUCAUUUCUAGAAGUAUUUAUGGACACAUUCGGAGAAAGUGAUUGAGAAUAAGUAGCAGAGAUCAAGCUUCUAUCCUUAUGGCAAGGAUGACAAUCAGCCACUACAUAUGCUGCCAAAUUCCAAAAUCUUGCUUGUGACGUGGACUGGAACGACAAAGCACUUAUCAACCAAUUUUGAUAUGGAUUAAAGGAUAGCAUGAAAGAUUUGUUAUUAAUAAUACCAAAAAUAGAAUCUUUGAAAUAAUUUAUUAUUCAAGCCAUUGCAUGCAAAAAUCAUUUAUUUGAAAGGCAACAAGAACAAAGAUUUAGUUAGAGAUGAAUAAGUAAAGUAAUGGCGGCAACUCCUAAGUUUUUUGAAACGUAUUCGUCAAAGCCGAAAUCAAUGCAAAUUGAUAUGAUACGUUUUAAACCUCUCACAAAGCAAGAAAAGUCUCGACAUUGCUAAGAGGGAUUGUGUUUAUAUUAUGGAGAAGCUAAGCACACUGCUCAAUAUUGUCCAAAGAAGCAACACAAUUACAAAAUGAAGAGCAUAAUUACCAAAGAAGAUAGUAUGUGAGAAAUGAGUUUCUCUAGCUACAAUAGGGACCAUGCGGUUGGAAUCAUGUGCAACACCUAGUAAAGGUCCUAUCCUCUCCUCAGACCCCUCACCUUGUUUUAUAAUAGAAGUAUAUUUAGGACCUAAUAAUCACAAAGUCUUUGCCUUAUUAGAUUCAGGAGCCUCAGCAUGUUUUAUAGACAAAGAUUUUGCCAAAAAUCAAAAAAUACUUUUAGUGAAGAAAGUUAAAUCUGUACAUGUAGAAGUCAUAGAUGGUCAUUCGUUGUCUUCUGAAAAUGUUAUCCAUGAAACUAUUCCUUUAGAUAUAGCAAUUAAAGAUCAUAACAAUGUAGUAGUAUUUAAUGUAAUAAAAUCUCCCUCUAAUCUGAUUAAUUUAGGAUUAUCAUGGCUAGAAAAAUAUAACCUUCAAAUAGAUUGGAUUUCUCGUAACCUUAACUUUCUUGAUAGUAUAAUCCAAGAUCGCGUUAGCAAAGUAGAAGUAUGUAAGUCCAGUAUGUCCAAAUCUUUAUUAGUAGGUGGAAAAGCUUUUAUGUAUGUUACAAAAGAAAGAUCAUCUUUUGCUAUAUAUGCUACAUCCAUUUCUAAUGGUGAAACAACGUCGAGUGGUAUUCCUAAAUAAUAUCAAGAAUUCCAAGAUAUUUUUGAAAAGAAGAAUGCAAAUAUUCGUCUCGAGCAUCGAGCUUAUGAUUAUUCAAUUGAUCUGCAAGAAGGAGCUCAACUACCAUUCGGACCAAUCUAUAGCUUAUCGCAGAAUGAGUUGGAUACAUUAAAGGAGUAUAUUGAUGAGAAUUUGGCAAAGAACUUCAUAUGCCAUUCUAAAUUUCCAACCGAGGCUUCUAUCUUAUUUAUGAAGAAGAAAGAUGGACAUCUAUGAAUGUGUGUGGAUUAUCAAGGAUUCAACAAGAUCACCAUCAAAAAUAGGUAUCCUUUGCCUUUGAUUUCAGGACUUCUUGACCAACUCAAUCAAGCAAAGAUCUAUACCAAAAUAGAUCUACGAGGAGCAUACAACUUAAUUCGUAUCAAAGAAAGAAAUGAAUAGAGGACUGAUUUUCGAACUAGGUAUGGACAUUUUGAAUAUAAUGUCAUGCCUUUUGGACUCAUAAAUGUACCAACCGCUUUUCAACAUUUUAUGAAUGAUUUUUUUUGUGAGUUUUUAGAUGAUUUUGUUGUUUGCUAUUUAGACGACAUUCUAAUCUACUCUAAGAAUUUAGAAGAACAUGAGCUUUAUAUUCGUCGCAUGUUACAAAAAUUUACAGAUACAAGAUUAUAUGCCAAAUUGAAAAAGUGUGUAUUCCACACUACUCAAGUUGACUUCUUAGGAUACAUCAUUUUCAACAAAGGCCUUAUGAUGGAUCCCAAGAAGGUUCAAACUAUCAUAGAUUGGAAGAUUCUAUAAACAGUGCGAGAUGUACAAUACUUUUUGGGCUUUGCUAAUUACUAUUGAAUCUUCAUCAAGAAUUUUUUUCAAGUUGCAGCUCCACUUACACGUUUGACUUGUAAAAAAAAACUUGAGUGGAAUAAAGAAACAAAAGUAUCAUUUGAUGCUUUAAAGAAGGAAUUUAUUUUUGCACCUAUCUUAUAUUUUGUUGAUUUCUCUAAGGUAUUUUUUAUGGAAACAUAUGCAUCAGAUUUUGCUAUAGGUGCCAUGUUGUCACAAAUGAGAAUGGAUGACAAACUCUAUCCAAUAGCUUUCCAUUCAAGGAAAUUUUCAGUACCCAAGAUUAAUUAUGAAAUCCAUGACAAAGAGCUCCUUGCAAUCGUGGAUUCAUUUCAAGAAUAGUGUCAUUAUCUAGAAGGCACCUCAAGUCCAGUUACAAUGUAUACAGACCAUAAGAACCUUGAAUAUUUCAUGUGAGUACGUAUCUUGAAUCAUUGUCAAGCCCAUUGGAGCAUGUCUUUAUCUAGAUUCAAUUUCAAGAUCACUUAUCGACUCAAAAAAUAAUAAGGUCUAUCGGAUGUUCUUUCUAGAUGUUCUUAUCUUGCACCAAAAGAAGGAGAUGCAUCUUUUGAUCUACAAAGAUCAAUUCUCUUGAAGCCCAAGCAUUUACAUCUUCGAGCUAUAAAAUCAAUAUUGACUGUUGAUUCAAUAUUUGUGAAGCAAAUUGUCAAGGACAAGAACUCGAUGAAAAAACAAUUCAGACAAGUGAGCCUUCACUCAAAGAAAGGUAACAAAAUAUAAAUAAACAAGUAUGUAUAUUGAAAGAAAAAUUGGAAUGGCUAUUGCCAAAAGACAAGAAAAUUAGAGACCCUUGAAACUAGAUUGGAAGCAAGAAAGGAGUUGACAAGAGUGAAGAGGGCUUCACUCUUGUCUCUAUAUAUACUAUCUAACUAGGGGCUCCGUGGCGACAUUCUAUAGGACCUCCAAUAUGUGUUGACUUUGUAGGACACAUGCCUUGACUUACAAGGCAAGUUUUUCUACGUGUGGGCCAUAUAGUUAGCUUGAUCAUCAAUCUAACAAUAUCUGUGGCACAUGGCCAACUUAUUGACCACGUUUUUAAUCCAAAAAGUCAAUUAAUGACACCUAUGAAGUCAAAGCAGCGACUAUGAAGCUUUUAAGAAGCUUCCAUAUUAAAUACUAUAGAAUUAACUUACUUUUACCUACUUUUAUUUACUUCUACCUAUUUAUAUAUGUAAUUACUAGAUUACAUGAGUAUGUCCGUGACAUUACCCCCCUUUCUAGGGACGAGUUCCACGAAGAGCGGUCAUCAUAUGUUGAGAAAAUCUAUGAUGCGACGAAUUGUAUUUGUCACAUACUCUGAUCUUUGUUCUCUUCGAAGAUGAUUGAUAGGGCUUCUCAACCAUCGGUAGUGUCCCAUACCAAAGCGAGAAGACCACUCAGUUAUUUGAUCAUUGUUGAGGCCUUCAUAACUUCCUUCGAAUAGAACAUUUGGAACACCAUCAGGAGUUGUUCCUACCUCUAGCAAAAUCACCAAACAUCAGGAGUCCCUUCCCAAAUCGUGAUACCAUACGCGUUGUAUCUCGCCAUCUAUUCGAGGAAGAACAUGUUGUUCUUGAAGAUCUUCAUCUCGAUUGCAUCGUCUUGAAGGUUGUGACAAUCAUAAUGUCUUGUCCGGCAGGUCAGCAAAUGAAGGCUCUUGAGUUGAAUCCAUUGGUUGUUGGUUCUCCAUCUCCUACAAAGAAGCUACAAACAAGGAUUGAAAGUAGAAUGUUAUCUUGCCUAGAUGUUGUUUCUUUUAUAAAGAAGAUUUUCAUCUUAAUUUUGAUGGAUGUUGUCGAUGAAAAACCUCUACCGCCUUUACUAUAUUUGCAAGCUUCUUUAUUGGCUCCCAUGUGUGUUCACUAAUACCAUAUCCGCAUCAAUAGACAAGAUAUUCCAAUUUAUUUUGGCGCCACCUUAAAUCUAAGACUUCUUCUACUUCAAACUCUUCAUUAUUGUCUACUUCUAUAGGAGGAGGUGGAGCUUAUUGUCUUCUUGGUAUGUCCACUAUCUUGUAUGGUUCAAGAAGAGACACAUGGAAUACUAGAUGGAUUUUCAUUGACUCCGAUAGAUAUAAACGAUAUGCAACUGGAUUGAUUUGUACAAAAAUAGAAAAUGGUCCCAACCUUCGAUAGUCCAACUUAUCACAAGGAUGAGUGGUCUUGAUAUUGCGACGAAGUAGCCAUACCUUAUCACCCAAGAGGAAUGGUAGUUGUUUCUUUUGGUAGACAUCCGCAUUGACCUUUUGUUGUUCUUGAGCCUCUUUUAAUUGCGCCUUCAUCGUUGCAUGUAGCUCUGAUAAAUGAAUCGCCAAAUCUUUUGCAGCAGGAUUAUCAACUUUUGAAAAGUCAAAAGUAUCAAGUCAUGGAUGAUAACCAUAAUUAGCAAAGAAAGAUGUUUAUUUUGUAGAAGAAUAUAUCGUGUUAUUGUAAGCAAACUUUGCCAAUGGCAAAAGAGUUGUCCAAUCAUCUUAUUGGUAGUUAAUGGUACAUCUUAAAUAUUGCUCCAAAACUUGAUUAAUACGCUCCGUUUCUCCAUCAGUUUGAGGAUGGAAUGCCAAAGAUAGUUUUAUAUCUACUUUUAGAAACUUGAAAAGAGUCUACCAAAAUCUUGAUACAAAUUGAAUUCUCCUAUCUGAUAUAAUAUCCUUGGAUAAUCCAUGAUAGCGAUAGAUAUUGUCAAGAAAGAGCUUAGCUAUUUCUUCACCUGUGAUAGAUUUUGUACAUGGUACAAAAUGUGCCAUCUUGAUAAAACGAUCUACUAUCAUGAAUAUAGAAUCAUAAGAACCUGAGAUUGGAAGAUCCGUGAUAAAAUCUAUAGAAACAGAAGACCAUGGUUGUUUUGGAAUGGGUAAUGGCUGAAGAAGUCCAAAAGGUCGAUGACGAGGAGUUUUUGAUCUUGAGCAAACAUCACAUGAUUGUACAAAAUCUUUGAUUGCCUUCCACAUUUGCGACCACCAAAAAUCCCUAGAUAUCAGCUCCAAAGUCUUAUUAUAUCCAAAAUAUCUUGUUGCUAGGAAGUUGUGACGAGCUUGAAGAACACGUAAACGUGCUUCUUCUUCUGAAACAUAUAGGCGUCCUUCAAAAUAGAGUAGGUUGUUCUUGAAUUCAAAUUUAGAGGGAUCAUGAGAUUUAGAAGAAUUAUUCUUGAUAUCAUGAACAAGAGGGUUUGAAGACAUACUUAACUAGACUUGCUUAAAAAAAUUUAAAUCAACAAUCAAUGUUGAUUUUAUUGCUCAAAGAUGAAAUUGCUCCUACUUCAAGAAAACCGUUCUUUAUUGCUCAAAAGCUGCAUCUCUUUCUUUUGGUGCAAGAUAAAAACGUCUAGACAAGGCAUUGAACAAAUCUUGUUGUUUUCCUAGUCAAUAAGUGAUGAUGAACUCGAAUCUUCAUAAAGACAUACUCCAACAAGCUUGACGACGAUUUAAUAUGCAUGUUGACAUAAAAUAUUCGAGGUUCUUGUGAUCCGUAUACACAGUGACUGGAUUGGAAGUACCUUCUAGAUAAUGAUGCCAUUCUUGAAAAGAAUCCACAAUUGCAAGAAGUUCUUUGUCAUCGAUCUCAUAAUUGAUUUCUGCUGUUGAGAAUUUUCUUGAAUGAAAGGCUACUGAAUGAAGUUUGUCAUCUGUUCCCAUUUGUAAUAAAACUGCAGCCAGAGAAAAGUCUGAUGCAUCUGUUUCCAUAAAAGAUGCUUUGGAAAAAUCAACACAAUACAAGAUUGGUGCAGAAACAAACGCUGUCUUCAAAGAUUCAAAAGCAACUUCCGCUUUUUGAUUCCAUUGGAGUUUGUCUUUGCAAGUCAAACAUGUAAGUGGAGCUGCAAUUCAAGAGAAGUCUUUGAUGAAGAUCCGAUAGUAAUUGGCAAAUUCCAAAAAAUAUUGAACAUCUCUUACCGUUUUGGGGAUCUUCCAAUCUAUAAUAGUUUGAACUUUCUUAGGAUCCAUCAUGAGUCCAUCAAUUGAAAUAAUGUAACCUAAGAAAUUGACUUGAGUAGUGUGGAAUACACACUUUUCUAUCUUAGCAUAGAGUCCUACAUCUCUUAAUUUUUGUAACACACGAUGAACAUGAAGUUCAUGUUCUUCUGGAUUCUUAGAAUAGAUCAAGAUGUCGUCUAGAUAAUAGACCACAAAAUCAUCCAAAAACUCUCAAAAAACAUCAUUCAUUAGAUAUUGAAAAACUAUUGUUGCAUUUGUAAGUCCAAAAGGCAUGAUGUUGUAUUCAAAAUGUCCAUACCUAGUUCGAAACGCAGUCUUCCAUUCAUCUCCUUUUUUGAUGUAUACUAGAUUGUAUGCUCUCCGAAGAUCUAUUUUUGUAUAGAUCUUAGCUUGAUUCAAGUGAUCAAGAAGUCCAGAUAUUAAAGGUAGUGGAUACAUGUUCUUGAUGGUAAUCUUGUUGAUUCCUCGAUAAUCAACAUACAUCCGCAAUGAUCCAUCUUUUUUCUUCACAAAUAAAAUUGGAGCUCCUGCCAGAGAUUUAGAAUGGCAUAUGAAAUUCUUGCCUAGAUUUUCUUCAAUAUACUCCUUGAGUUCAGCCAACUCAUUUUGUGAUAAACUGUAGAUUGGUCCAAAGGGCGAUUGUGCUCCUUCUUGAAGGUCAAUUGAGCAAUCAUAGGGACGAUGUUCCGAGAGUGUAUCCGCAUUCUUUUUUUGAAUACAUCUUGAAAUUCUUGAUAUUGGCUUGGAAUGCCACUUGAAGUCUUUUCACCAGUAGAAAUGGGUGUAGCAUAAAUAAUAUAUGGUGAUUCUUUCAUAGUAGCAUGCAAGAAAGCUUUUACACCUAUAAAUACGGAUUUAAUUGAACUGGACCUAUGACUCUCUACUUGAUUAAUUACACUAUUAGUUAUACUUUUAGAGAAAGAAAGAGUUCGGAAAAUCCAAUCUAUUUGAGGGUUGUAUUUUUUCAACCACGAUAAACCUAAAAUGACUGGAUUAGAGGGAGAUCUAAUGAUAUUAAAUACUACAAAACUAUUAUGACCAUUGAUUAUUACUUCUAUAGGAAGGGUUUUAUGAGUAAUAUCUCCAGAAGACAAUGGACGACCAUCUAUGACUUCUAUAUGAAUAAGUUUAGUUUUCUUUACUAAAGUUAUGCUAUGUCUUUUAGUAAAUUUUUUAUCUAAAAAACACGCUGAGGCUCCUGAAUCUAACAAGGUAGAGACUUUGUAAUGUUUAGGUCCUAAAAUAAUAUUUAAUGUAAAACAAGGAGAAGGCUUUGAGGAGAGAAUAGGACCUUUACUAGAUGUUGUGCAAGGUUUCAGCCGCACGGUCCCUAUUGUAGCUAGACAAACUCGUUUUCCGACAUAUUGUCUUCUUUCAUAGCCAUAUUCCUUAUUUUGUGAUUACGUCGUUUCUUUAGACAAUGUUGAGCAGUGUGCUUUGGUUCUCCACAAUAUAAACAUAAUCCUUCUUGACAACGGCGAGUCUUUUUUUGCUCAGUAAGAGGUUUGAAAUGUACUACAUCAAUUUUCAUAUCCUCUACUUCCGAAUGUAUGUGUUGAAGAGGUAUUGGUAUUGCCAUUGAAUUAUAGUAACGUUGAGGUCCACUUGUACGGUUCUCAGAUCGAAAUUCAAAGAGGCGAUUGUCACACUUCACAGCAAAGUCAAUUGCUUGACUCAAUGUUUGAGGAUCAGAUAAGUUGAGCAUCAAUUUUUUUACCUCAUAUUGUAAUCCGUAGAAAAAUUGGCUAAUAAGUGCAGCAUCAUCCUACUUGAUAUCAGUUACAAGUUGUUAAAAUUGUGAAGCAUUACUGAUUGAUUACCUUGUCGUAAAAUAUGGAUCUUAUUGGUUGCGAUACGAAUUGCAUCAUGUUCUCCAUACAUGGAUCGAAACUCGACUAGAAAAGCCUCUAGAUUAUCCAAUAUUGGAUCUCGUCGUUCAAGAAAAGAUGAAAACCAUGAUAGUGCUGAACCUGAAAGAAGCGUACUAAUGAAUCUAACUUGCGAUCAUGGAGUUGGAUAGCUUUAGAGUUGAAGUUCAAUCACAAGUUACACUUAAUUGAUAAAUCCUCGAAACUUGGAUCUGGUGCCAUCAAACUUCUCGGAUAGGGCAAUUCUUGAUUCUCUAACACUUGAAGGGCGUUCCACCAUAGGAGAAAGGACAUGGUUUGGUACAGAUGUUGAAGCAGCUCCAACCAUUUCUAUAUCUUCACUUCCUGUCAAUCUUGUUGCUCAUUGUGGUGGUAAAUUGAGUUGAUGCAUCGCAAGCAUUAACUCCCUCAAUUACUCUUGCAUUUGUGCCAUUACACUCUUCAUUUCAACAAGUUCUGCCAUGAUAACACUUAGAAGAGAGAAGAUGUCUAAUAUUGCUCAAGACAAAUAGAAGAGAUGACUUGAGAACAAAGAAAAUACUAAGGACAAUAUCAGUUUAGAAGAAGGUAAUUCGCAACUUCUAAUAUGCUUAUAUCUUAUCAAGAAAAAGGGGUAAUCUACUCUUAAUCAAGAUUAGACAAAGCUCUGAUAUUGUAGGUGUACUCUUGUCAAUCUGUCAAGGACAAGAACUCGAUGAAAAAAUGAUUCAGACAAGUGAGCCUUCACUCAAAGAAAGGUAACAAAAUAUAAAUAAACAAGUAUAUAUAUUGAAAGAGAAACUGGAAUGGCUAUUGCCAAAAGACAAGAAAACUAGAGACCCUUGAAACUAGACUGGAAGCAAGAAAGGAGUUGACAAGAGUGAAGAAGGCUUUACUCUUGUCUCUAUAUAUACUAUCUAAUUAAGGGCUUUGUAGCGACGUUCUAUAGGACCUCCAAUAUGUGUUGACUUUGUAGGACACAUGCCUUGACUUACAAGGCAAGUUUUUUUAUGUGUGGGCCAUAUAGUUAGCUUGAUCUUUAAGCUAACAACAUGUGUGGCACAUGGCCAACUUGUUGGCCACAUUUCUAAUAAAAAAAGUCAAUUAAAUUUGAGAUAUCAAGGAUACUUUCUCUAAGUCCCAUGAUACUUCUAAGUUUAAAUUCAAAAAUAAUCUAUUAUAUUUUGAAGGAUGCCUAUAUGUUCCAGAAGGAGAAGCACAUUUACGUAUUCUUCAAGCUCAUCACGACUUCUCAACAGCAGGACAUUUUGGAUAUAAUAAGACUUUGGAGUUGAUAUCUAGGGAUUUUUGGUGGCCUCAAAUGUGGAAGGUAGUCAAAGAUUUUGUACAAUCAUGUGAUGUUUGCUCAAGAUCAAAAACUCCUCAUCAUCAACCUUUUGGACUUCUUCAGCCAUUACCCAUUCCAGAACAACCAUGGUCUUCUGUUUCUAUGGAUUUCAUCAUGGAUCUUUCAAUCUCAGGUUCUUAUGACUCUAUAUUCGUGAUAGUAGAUUGUUUUACCAAGAUGGCACAUUUUUUACCAUGUACAAAAUCUAUCAUAGGUGAAGAAACAGCUAAGCUUUUCAUUAACAAUAUCUAUCACUAUCAUGGAUUGCCAAAGGAUAUUUUAUCGGAUAGGGAAACUCAAUUUAAAUCAAGAUUUUAGAAAACCUUAUUCAAGAUUCUAAAGAUGGAUAUAAAGUUUUUUUCAACUUUUUAUCUUCAAACUGAUGGACAAACAGAACAGGUAAAUCAAGUUUUAGAGCAGUAUUUGAGAUGUACCAUCAAUUAUCAUCAAGAUGAUUGAACAACUCUUUUACCAUUGAUAAAGUUUGCAUAUAAGAAUUCGGUACAUUAUUCCACUCAAAAAAUACCUUUCUUUGCCAAUUAUGGUCAUCAUCCAUGUCUUGAUACUUUUGACUUUUCAAAAGUUGAUAAUCUUGUGGCAAAAGAUUUAGCAAAUUGCUUGUCAGAGCUACAUACAACAAUGAAGAUACAAUUAAAGGAAGCUCAAGAACGACAAAAGACCAAUGCAAAUGCCUAUUGCAAGGAGCAACCACAAUAUAAUAUGGACGACAAGGUAUGGUUACUUCGUUGUAAUAUCAAGACUAUUUGUCCUUGUGAUAAAUUAGAUUAUUGUAGGCUUGGACCUUUUCCUAUUUGUGAACAAAUCAAUUCUAUUGCCUAUCAAUUACAUCUAUCGUAGUCUAUGAAGAUCCACCCUGUAUUUCAUAUGAUUCUUCUAGAGCCGUAUAAGAUAGUGAAUAUCUUAAGAAGAAGACAAAUGCCACCUCCUCCUAUAGAAGUGGACAAUAACCAAGAGUUUGAGGUAGAAGAAGUCUUAGACUCAAGGUGGUGCCGAAAUAGGUUGGAAUAUCUUAUUCAUUGGCAUAAAUAUGAUAUUAGUAAACACACAUGGGAGCCAUCAAAGAAUCUUACAAAUGCAGCAAAGAAAGUUGAAGUCUUUCAUCAACAAUAUCCAUCAAAACUAAGAUGAAGAAUAGCAAACCUUUGCUAUAAAAGAAACAAGAUCAAAGGAAAAUAACAUUCUACCUUUUAUCUUUCAUUGUAGCUUCUGUGUAUUUGUAAUGAGAUGGAGCACCAACAACUAGCAGAUUCAUCUCAAGAGCUUUCAUUUGCAGACUUAUCAGAUGAGACAUUGAGAUUAUCACAACCUUCAAGACGACAAAAUCGAAAUAAAGAUUGUCAAGAACAACAUGUCCUUCUUUGAAUAGAUGGCGAGAUACAACGUGUUUGGUAUCACGACCUUGGAAGAGAAUCCCGAUGUUAAGUAAUUUUAUUAGAGGGUGGGCUUUUCACCCUAGUAUGAGACACUAUAGAUGGUUGAGAGGACCUAUCAACCAUCUUUGAAGAUAGCAAAGAUCGGAGUAUGUAGUAAAUAUAAUUCACCACAUCUUGAACUUCCUCAAAAUAUAAAAACCACUUUCCAUAGAACUCGUCCCUAGAAGAGAGGAUAAUAUCAUAGACAUAUAUAUUUACUUCAAUAGUUACUUGUAUGAUUAAGUAGAAGUAGGUAAAAUAGAAUAAUUUCAUAAAAUCUUCUAGAGAAGCUUCCUAAAAGGUUCAUAGACAUGGUUUUGACUUUAGAUGUGUUCAUAGGUUAGAAACUUGGCCAAAAAACUAACCAUGUAUUGGUAGCUUGUGGAACAAGUUACCUCCGUAUAGUAGCUUGUAGAACAAGCUAACUACGUGGCGCAUACAUAUGUAACUUGUCUUGCAAGAUAAGACAUGUGACUAGCAAACUCAACACAUGUUGGAGGUCCUAUAGGACAUCGCCAUGUGGCUUUUAGUUAGAUAGUAUAUAUGGAGGCAAGAAUAAAGCCUUCUUCACUCUUGUUAAUGUCUUUCUAGUCUUAGUCUUGUUUCAAGACUUUUUAGUCUUCUUAUUUUUGGCAAUAGCCAUUCUAGUUAAUAUUACAUCACCUUUUGAGUGACUUUCUAGUUCUCUUUAGUGUUAGAAGAGUGUAUUGAGGAUUCUCUUUCUUCGAGAUUCUUGUCCUUGACAAAUACAUGUCUUACAAAGUCAACACAUUUUAGAGGUCCUAUAGGACAUUGCUAUGUAGCUCCUAGUUAAGAGUAUAUAUGGAGGCAAGAAUAAAGCCUUCUUUAUUCUUGUCUAUGUCUUUCUCAUUCUUAGUCUUGUUUCAAGACUUUCUAAUCUUCUUAUCUUUGGCAAUAACCAUUCUAGUUUAAUACUCUAUCAUCUUUGAGUGACUUUUUAGUUCUUUUGAAUGAUACAAGAAUGUAUUGAGGAUUUCUUUUUUCAAGAUUCAUAUCCUUGAUAGUUUGAUAAGAAUGCUAAUUGAUUCUUCCUGUCUUGUUUUAGAAGUGAAUAGAUCAUUUCACUUCUAUUGUUAUAUUUUAAAAGUUGUAGACUAUCCACCUUUAAAUAAAUAAUCUUAUUUUUUAAUACUAAUUUUUUUCUUAAAGAGAAUAAAUUAUCUUUCUUUAUAAAAAAUUUUAUUUAAUACUAGAGGUUACAAAUUAUCUUCUUCUAAUUUAAUUUUUUAAAUUUAUUUGAAUUAUCUAUAGAAAAAAAGAUUAUGGAUGUAACUCUCAACAGAAGUGAAAAUAGAUUAGUAACUAUUGCAGAUCUUCACAAGCUUGUGAAUUCUCUAAGAAUUGAAAUUUUACAUAUUUCCAAUAUAAACCAGAGAAAUAUUAUUUCUAUAUCUGGGAAAGAAGUUCAGAGUCUAUGUCAAGAAGUUGUACAGUUGAAAGAAGCAAGUAGAAAAUUUUAGAACCAAAUCAAAAAAGUUUUAUUUCUAUAAGUACGAUAGAGAUAAGGAUUAGUAUACUCGAGAAGUUUAAUAGAACAAAAUUAAAAUUUCAAGGAUUUUUGCAAGAAAUCAAGUUAAAUCUAAGGUUACAUCUCUUUCAAUAUCAUGAUGGAUUUAUUCAAGUUGGAUUCAUAGGCACACUUCUACUUGGAAGUAUUCUCUCUUGGUUUACAUCUUUGAUAGAAGAUGAUUCAUAACUCUUACAUGAUUUGAAUUCAUUCUCAGAAGUGUUUACGGCCACAUUCAAAGAAAAUGAUCAAGAACGAGUAAUAGAGACCAAGUUCUUAUCUUUAGAAUAAGGUUCACAAUCAAGAACCAUAUAUGGUACUAAAUUCUAAUAUCUUUCUUGUGAUGUGGACUAGAAUGACAAAAUCCUUAUCAAUCAAUUUUGAUAUGAUUUAAAAGACAACAUCGAAGAUUUAUUAUUCACAAUAUUAAAAGCAAAAUCUUUAAAAUAAUUUAUUGCUCAAGCCAUUGCAUAUGACAAUCAAUUAUUUGAAAAACAUCAAGAAUAAAGACUUGCCUAAAGAAAAAUAAGUCAAGUAACAAUAAUAGCUCAAAAGUUUUUUAAAACCUAUUUAUUAAGAGUGGAAUCAAUGUAAAUUGAUAUGGUGUAUUUUAAAUCCCUCACAAAGUAAGAAAAGACUUGACAUUGUCAAGAGGGUUUAUACUUAUAUUAUUGAGAAGCUAAGUACACUACUCAAUAUUGUCUAAAGAAAUAAAGUAAUCACAAAAUGAAGAGCAUAAUUGCCAAAAAAGACAAUGUGUCAAAAAAUGAGUUUUUUGAGCUACAAUAAGCACUAUGUGGUUGGAAUUAUGUGCAAUACCAAAUAAAGGUCAUAUUCUCUCUUUAAAUCUCUUAUCUUGCUUUAUAAUAAAUAUCUGUUUAGGACCUAAAAAUCACAAAGACUUUAUAUUAUUAGAUUUAGGAGCCUUAGCCUAUUUUAUAAACAAAGACUUUGUUAAAAAAAUAUUCUUUUUUUAAUCAAGAAAAUUAAAUUCAUACAUAUAAAAGUCAUAAAUAAUAAUUUGUUUUCUUUUAGAGAUAUUAUGUAUGAAACUAUUCCUUUAGAUGUAGGAAUUAAAGAUCAUAAUAUUAUAGUAAUAUUUAAUGUGAUAAAUUAUUUUUUUUAUUCAAUUAUUUUAGGAUUAUCGUGGUUAAAAAAAAUAUAAUCCUCAAAAAGAUUGAAUUUCUUGUAAUUUUAAUUUUUUGAUAUUUUAAUCCAAAAUCCUAUUAAUCAAGGAAAAAUACACAAGUUUAAUAUAUCCAAACCUUUAUUGAUAGAAGUGAAAGCUUUCAUAUAUGCCACAAAAGAAGGAACAUCUUUUGUUAUAUAUGCCAUGUCUAUUUUUCAUGGUGAAAAGAUGUCAAGUGAUAUUUUUAGCUAAUAUUGAAAUUUUGAAGAUAUUUUUGGAAUAAAAAAUAUAAAUAUAUUUUUUUUAAAUCAUCUACCAUAUGAUUAUUCAAUUGAUCUAUAAAAAAAAUCUCAACCACCAUUUGGAUUAAUUUAUAACUUAUCAUAGAAUGAGUUGGCUACACUAAAAGAAUAUACUAACAAAAAUUUAGCUAAAAACUUCAUACAUCAUUCAAAACCUCUGGCAGGAGCUCUUAUCUUAUUUAUAAAAAAAAUGAUGGAUCUCUACAAAUACGUAUAGACUAUCGAGGACUUAAUAAGAUCACCAUCAAGAAUAGAUAUCCUCUACCUUUGAUUUUAAGACUUCUUGAUCAUCUAAAUUAAUCAAAGAUCUAUAUAAAAAUAGAUCUACAAAGAAUUUAUAAUUUGAUAUGCAUUAAAAAAGGAGAUGAAUGAAAAAAUAUAUUUUGAAUUAAAUAUGAGCAUUUCAAAUAUAAUAUCAUGCCUUUUGGAUUCACAAAUAUACCAAAUACUUUUCAACAUCUAAUUAAUGAUGUCUUUGAUGAAUUUCUUGAUAAUUUUGACAAUUAUUAUUUGGAUGACAACUUAAUCUACUUUAAGAAUACAAAAGAAUAUGAAAUUCAUAUUUAACAUGUAUUAUAAAAACUUAUAGAUGCAGGAUUAUAUGCCAAGUUAAAAAAAAGUGUAUUCUACAUUAUUGAAGUUAAUUUUUUAGAAUAUAUUAUUAUCAACAAAAGACUAAUAAUAGAUCUAAAAAAGUCUAUACUAUUAUACAUUAGAAGAUUUUAAGAAUAAUAAGACACAUACAAUGCUUUUUAAAUUUUGCCAAUUAUAAUUGAAUCUCCAUCAAGAAUUUUUCUCAAGUUACAACCACACUUACAUAUUUGACUUGUAAAGACAAAUUUGAGUGGAAUAAAGAAGCCAAAGCAUUAUAUGAUGGUUUAAAAAUAGAAUUUACUUUUGUACCAAUCUUAUAUCAUAUUGACUUUUCUAAAGCAUUUUUUAUGAAAAAAAAUACAUCAGACUUUGCUUUAGGUGCACUAUUGUUACAAAUGAGAGUAGAUGACAAAUUCCAUCUGAUAGCUUUUUAUUCUAAGAAAUUUUCAGUGAUCAAGAUGAAUUAUAAGAUUUACAAUAAAGAGCUUCUUGAAAUCAUGGAUUCUUUUUAAGAAUAACAUCAUUAUCUAGAAGAUACCUCAAGUCCAGUCACCAUGUAUAUGAAUCAUAAGAACCUCAAGUAUUUUAUAUUGGCAUGUGUUUUGAAUUGUUGUUAAGCUUGUUGGAGCAUGUCUUUAUGAAGAUUUGAUUUCAAGUUUAUUUAUUGACUUAAAAAAUAAUAAGAUUUAUUGGACGUUCUUUUAAGACAUCUUUACUUUGCACCAAAAGAAAGAAAUGUAUCUUUUGGUCAACAAAGAAUGAUUUUCUUUAAGUCAAAGUAUUUUCAUCUUCAAGCAAUAAAAUCAAUACUAACUAUUGAUUCAACUUUUAUCAAGCAAAUUCAAUCAAAUAUGUCUUUUGAUCGUCUAAUUCAUGAUAUUAAGAAUACAUCUUUUAAGUCUUUUGAUACUUCCAAGUUUGAGUUCAAGAACAACCUACUCUAUUUUGAAGGAUGAUUAUAUAUUUCAAAAGACAAGGCAUAAUUAUAUAUUUUUUAAGUUCAUCAAGAUUUUUUAAUAGUUGGAUAUUUUGGAUACAACAAGACUUUAGAGCUAAUAUUGAAAGAUUUUUAAUGGCAUUAAAUAUAAAAAAUAGUCAAAGAAUUUGUACAAUAAUGUAAUAAUUUUUCAAGAUCCAAAACUCCUUGCCAUUGAUCUUAUGGGCUUCUUUAGCCAUUAUCUAUUCCAAAAUAACCAUAGUCUUCUGUUUCUAUAGAUUUUUAUCAUGGAUCUUUUAAUCUCAACUUUGUAUGAUUCUAUAUUUAUGAUAGUAGAUCAUUUUACCAAGAUGGCUUAUUUUAUACUAUAUACAAAAUCUAUCACUUAUGAAGAAACAACUAAGUUUUUUUGACAACAUCUAUUGCUAUCAUGGAUUGUUUAAAGAUAUCAUAUUGAAUAAAAGAACCUCAUUUGUAUCAAGAUUUUAAAAAAUUCUUUUUAAGAUUUUAAAGGUAUAAAUAAAGCUCUCUUUGGCUUUCUAUCUUCAAAUUAAUGAGCAAAUAAAAUAGAUAAAUUAAAUUUUAUAACAGUAUUUAAGAUAUACCAUCAAUUAUUAUGAAGUUGAUUUGAUAAUUUUUUUGCCAUUGAUAAAGUUUGCAUACAAUAAUUCAAUACAUUCUUCUAUUCAAUAAACACCCUUCUUUAUCAAUUAUGGUUAUCAUCUACAACUUGAUACUUUUGACUUUUUAAAAAUUGAUAAUCCUGUGGUAGAAGAUUUGACAAAUCAUUUGUUAGACUACAUGGAACAAUAAAGGUCAUAUUAAAAAAAACUCAAGAACAACAAAAUAUCAAUAUAUAUGCCUAUCACAAGGAACAACCAAAAUUCAAUGUGGGUGAUAAGACAUGAUUCUUUUAUUGCAAUGUUAAGACUACUUGUCUUUGAGACAAGUUGAACUAUUAUAAAUUUGGAUUUUUUCUUAUUUUUGAAUAAGUCAAUUUUGUUACUUAUUGAUUACAUUUAUUGGAAUCUAUAAAGAUCAUUUUUAUAUUUUACAUGUCUCUUCUUAAGCCAUAUAAGACAAUGAAUAUCUCAAAAAGAAGACAAAUGCCACCUCCUCCUCUAAAAAUGAAUAAUAAUUAAGAGUUUGAAGUAGAAGAAGUCUUAAAUUCAAGGCAAUGCCAAAAUAGGUUAAAAUAUCUUGUUCAUUGGCAUAGAUAUGAUAUUAGUGAAUGCACAUAGAAGUCAAUAAAGAAGCUUGCAAAUGUAGUAAAGAAGGUUGAGGCUUUUUAUCAAGAACAUCCAUCAAAAUCAAGAUGAAGAAUUGCAAGAUCCAUAAAAGUUGAUAACCUCUCCUUGAUGAAUUCAUUCUUAGAAGGAGAAGUAAUUUCAUAGACAUACAUACUUAUUUUAAUAUUUAUCUAUAUAAUUAGAUAAAAAUAAAUAAAAAUAGAUUUAUUUUAAAAUAUUUUAUAAAAAAACUUCCUAAAAGCUAUAUAGAUAUUGCUUUGACUUUAUAUAUGUUUGAUAGUAGGUUAGAAACUUGGUCAACAAGUUAAUCACAUGUUCAUAGCUUGUGGAAUAAGCUAAUUAUGUGGUAUAUAUAUAAAAAAACUUACCUUACAAGUUAAAAUAUGUAUCUUACAAAGUUAACACGUUUUGGAGGUCCUAUAGGACAUCACCACGUAGCUUGUAGUUAAGAGUAUAUAUAGAAGUAAGAGUGAAGCCUACUUCAUUCUUAUCAAUGCCUUUCUAGUCCUUAGUAUUAUUUUGAAGACUUUCUAGUCUUCUUGAUUUUGACAAUAGCUAUUCUAGUUUAAUACUAUAUCAUCUUUGAGUAACUUUUUAAUUCUUUUGAGUGAUAGAAGAAUGUAUUGAGGAUUUCUUUUUCCAAGAUUCAUGUCGUUGAUAUUUCUUUUCUAAUAAUGAGAAUUGUCUUUCUUAGUACAUCUACAUAUAAUAUAUUGUCAUGAUAUAACAUGGCUAAUGAAGAAAAGAGAAAAGAAAAUAUUAUAAUAUAAAAGAUCUCAUUUAAAAAUAUUAUAGCUAAUUAUCUUUAAAAUAUAGAUAAUAGUCAAAAAGAUAGUAAAACUAAAGGAUGCUAAUACUAUGUUUUACAUAAUAGGCUUCUACUUACUUUGUAAGACCAUAAAUUAGGAAAAAUAUAAUAGAUUGGAAAAUUAAAAAAUAUAGAUAAGUGAAUAAGAGAAUUAAGAAUAGAUUUUAGCAAAAUUUACCUUAAGAAGCUGAAAAUUAAUAUCUAGAAAGAACCAGUUGUAAACUUGAAUCAAAAUCAGAUCUUUUUGCACAAAACCACAUACCUAUAGUAACUCUAAAGUUUUUUGGUAAAUUGGAGGGCAAGAUUUGAUAGCAGACUUAAAAAGAGAUUAUUAAGCAUUAAUUUCAUAUUAAUUAAAUCAAUAUUGAGUUUUUGAAAGGAUUUCAAAAUUAAUAAUAUUCUUGGUUAGUUUAUAUUUUUAGAAAUAAAAAUAUAUUUAUAAAUUUGAGGCUUUCUUGAGUUUUGUGGUGUAUGUAUAAGUGUAUUUUGGAUAGUGUAUUGGUGUACUAGUUGUUAAUAUGUGUGCAAAUUUUGAAAUCAAUCAAAUGGUUAGAUCAAAGUGUGUAAAGGUUUUUAUAGGUUGACGUCUCAAAAAUUGGAGUUCAAGGAUUAAUGAGUAUUUCUAAGAUUUUUAGCAAUUACCAAUUGGAUUGAAGUAAUUUUUUUUGUAUAAUACUAGAUUUAGUUUUUAAUAUUUUAGGUGAAAUUUAGAAGAAAUUCAAUGGUUCAAGAAAGAAAUAUUGGUACUAGAAGUUUAAUAUUCAAAUUGGAGUAGGAGGCUGUUUAAGACUUAAUUGGAUUAUCUUGAAUUUCUUUCUAUUAGUAAGUACAAUUGAUUUCAUCUUUCUUAUACUUAUUUCUAACUAAGAUAUUAAAAAUUAUAAUUUUUUUGAAUUUAUAUCAAUAAUUCAAUCAUUAAUUAUUGAGGUUCCAAUUUGCUAUAGGAUCUGGUUUAGGGAUUUUUCGACCAUUUGGUUAGGACUUAGAAUUUGGUCUAAGAUUUGAUUAGAAUUAGGAUUUGUUUGGAAUUUUGUUUAAAACUUGACUAAAAAUUAACUAGGAUUUGUCUAGGAUUUGUUUACAAUUUAGGAUUUAUUUAGGAUUUCAUUAGGGCUUGACAUAGGAUUUAAUUAAGAUUCAAUUAAGAUUUCAAUUAAGAUUUGAUUUAAGAUUUGGUUAAGAUUUAUUUAAGGUUUUAAUUAGGAUUAAAUUAAAGUUUAUAUUUCUAGUAUUUUAAAAAGAUUCUUUAUUAUUUCUUUAAAAGUUUAUAUUUCUAAUAUUUUUUUGAGAUUAUUGUUAUUUCUUUAAAAGUUUAUUUCUAUAUUUAUUUAAGCUUUCUUAUUAAUUUUCUUUGAGUUUAAUUUGGAACUUCUUUUUUUUUCUCUUAUAACUUCUUUUAAAUUUAUUUUGGAUGGUCAAAUUUUGAUCAAGAUUAUUAAGGUCUAUUUAAGAUUAUUCAAGAUUCUAUUAGACUUGAUAGGAUUGUUCUUGUAUUUCUACUUAUCUUCCAUAGUUAGGCACCCAAUGCAUUCUCAAGUAAGAAUACAUGUAGUAUAACAAUAUUUUUUUCAAUAUUGCAAAAAUAAUCUUUUUAAAGAUAGAAUAGAAUUUUAAAUUUAGAUUGUGUUAUUUAUCUACUAUUUUAAAAUUAUAUUGUAAUUUUAGAAAAAUUAACAUUCAAUUUUUUUUUCAUUAUUUUUGAAUUUUAUUGUCAUUUUAUUAUAUACAAAUGUUUUUUUUUUACUUCAUGUUGAUCUUUCUAAAAAAUAGAACUUUCUAAAAAUUUUAUUAAAACAAAAAAUAUUCAAAUAUAUAAUGCAUUUUUCAUCAUUCAAUUUUGAAAUACAUUCUUCUAUUAUUCAUUUUAAUUUAUUAUAAAAUCAUUCCAUAUGCUCUACAAGCAUUUUAUUUUUAGCAUUUUUGUUCUAAUUUCUUUGUUACAACAGCAUCAAUGAAAAAUUUGCUAGUAUUUUGCUUGAUUUCUAAAGAAUUUCAUCAAAAUAAAUAAAUAAAUAAAUAAAAUCCUUUAUCUAAUUUCUCUCUUUUUGUUGGUUUCUCAAUUCCAUAAUUUUGAAUAAAUUAAUGAUCCACAUCAUUAUAAAAGCUUUCUUUAAACUUGUCUCAUAGCUCUUUUGGAUAUAUAAAUAAAAUUUGAAAAAGAAUGAUUGCAAAAAAUGUUCUUAAUUACUUCCAUGUUUUUAUUUUUUUAUGAAUUUUUAAGAUUUUCUUUAUGAAUUUGUUGCAAUGCACCUCUUUUCUAUUGACCACUAUAUCUUUCAUUUCUUCUGCCUUCAUUCUAUUGUUUGACAUAAAAAUUGCAACCUCAUUAGAAGUUGGAAGUUUAUAAUAUCUUUUAUUAACAUCUUUACUAAAAUAAAGAUGCAUGUAUAUACUAUCAAUGCUCUCUUUUCUUUUUUUCUUUUUUUGGAAAAUAUUUUUUUAAGCUUGUUGACAAAGUAAAAAAAAUGCAUGAUAUUCUUUCAAACAUUUUUAAAGCUCCCAUAUUAUUUGAAUUGACAAAUUGCAUUAUGCACUAUUCUUAUUUUAUAUAUAAUAUUAAAAGUAUAAAUAUAAAGUUUCAUAUAACUUGCUUCUACACCUUAUUUUGAUAAAAGAUUAUCCAUUUGAUGCCAAAGCUCUCUAAGUAUGCAAAAGCUAUAUAGACCAUAUCCUUGCAAGAUAGUAUUAUCAACUUUUGCACCAAGUACUGUAAAUGUAUGUACAACAUUAUAUUAUUAAAUAGUCUUUUGAAACUCCUUGCUUUAUUAAUCUUAUCAAUCAAGUAGUUGUAUAAUUGAUAAUGGAGGACCUUCAAGAAGUAAAAGUUUAAUCUUUCAAAAAAAAUAAUAUGUAGCAAAUUAUAGAUUUGAUUUUAUUAAUAGUAUUAUUUUUUCAUCUAUUUAAUAAAAAUCUUUGUAAUAUAGAUAUUAAACGUCUAUAUUUUCAACAUUAUAAUAACCUUUUAAUCUUUUUUUUUAUUAUGAUAUUCAUGACAAAGUUAUUCUACUUGUUUACCAAUUUUUAUAAUUACAUCCUUUCUUUAAGCUCUCUCUCAAUUUCUUUAAUGUUAUUGUAUAAGUGCUAUAAGAGAGAAUAUUUUAACUUGUCUUUGUAUUCUUUCACAUUUUUUAUGCUAUUGUUGAGCAAUUACUCUCCAAUUAAUUCUAAUCAUUUUCAAAGCUAGAUUGCUAACAAGACAGAUUCAACUAGACCAAUAUAAUAAACUUGGUAUCAAAAAUUAAAAUUAAAACAAACUUGUAAGUAUCAAAAUUUUACCUUCAUAAAAUUCUAAUAAAACCACAUUGCUCAAGUAUUUGAAUAUAAUUAUAUAAUACUUAAAUAAAAAUGAAGACAUAUAACUUAAUUAAUCAAAUUAUAAUUCCAUAAUAUUUUGAUAAUAUAUUAUAAUAAUACAAAAAUAAAGAUCUUAUAUCUAUAUAUCUCUAUUAAUUAUAUUUAAACAAGUAGAGUAACCUCAUAAUUGAAUUUAAGAAGUCUUUGUACUACAGGUAUAAAAAAAGCAAAGAUUUAUUGUUGAAGAAGUUUGAUAGAACAAGAUCAAAAUUUUGAUGAUUUCCAUAAUAAAUCAAGCUCUAUUUAAAGUUACAUCCUUCCUAAUAUUCUCAUGUAUUUACUCAAGUUGGAUUCAGAGGGAUUCAUAUUCAAAAGAAUUAUCUCUUAAUUUGUAUUUUUAAUGAAAAAAGAUUCAUGACUCUUAUAUAAUCUAAAUUCAUUCUUGGAAGUAUUUAUAGCUAGAUUUUAAAAUAGUGAUUAAAAAAUGGUGCUUUAAUUUGAUUUUUGCAUUAUAGAAAUAUUAUUAGAAUUUCUGAAAUUUAUUUAGAAUUUAUAUAGAAUUUAAAUAAGAAAUUUUUAGAAAAAAAAAUCUAGACUUUUGUAAAAUUGAGUUUUUUCCAUCUUGGGAGCUAUUAUGAAGAAAUAGAAUAAGAUUUGAAGGCCAUACAAGUAUCUUAGGCUAAUUAAAUAUUUUAAAAAAUUAUGAUGAAUUUAAAAUUAUAAAAAUAUUAGCUUUACUAGUAGAAAAUAGGAGGACUAGAAGCUAGUUUAGUCCUUGUAAGAAGGGAGGUGCACAGGUGCCACAUAGAUUGUAGCACCUUAAGUGUAGUUAGGAGGAUAAGACUAAGGCCUUGUGACCUCUCUUAGAAAUCCAAUACAUUGCAUGUGAGCCUUCAUGAGGCUCAAAUCCNNNNNNNNNNNNNNNNNNNNNNNNNNNNNNNNNNNNNNNNNNNNNNNNNNNNNNNNNNNNNNNNNNNNNNNNNNNNNNNNNNNNNNNNNNNNNNNNNNNNUAAGUAAGUUGUCUUCCAUGUAAAAUAUUUUUAAUUAAAUUUUUAUUUAUUUACUCACUAUCUUUAAACCUCCAUAACUUAUUCAUAAUAAUUUAAAUUUAUAUAUUUUUUAUAUUAUUAAAAAUCUAAGAAAAUUAAAAUUUUAAAAACAUAUAUUUUUAAAUUUUUAUUUUUAUUUUUAUUAAAUAAAAACUCAAUAAAUAGAUUUUGAUUAAGUUUUGGAUUUUAUAAUUACUUGAUUUUAUUUAUUUCACAUGUUUUGUAUUUAUUCUUCUUUUUUUCUUGUUAUUUGCUUCUUUCACUUCACCACCAAUUACAAAUAAUUUUUAAUUGAGACCAUCUUGUAAUUUGAAUCGAUAGAUAAAAUUUACUUUCAUAUAUAUAUAUAUAUAUUGUUGAAUUCUCAAACCUUACUUGUAACAUGGAUUAGAAUGAUAAAGCCUUUUUAAAUUAAUUUUAAUAUCGAAUAAAUAAUAAUAUCAAAUAUUUAUUAUUAAAAAUACCAAAAAUAAAUUUAUUAGAAUAAUUCAUUGUAAAAGCUAUUAUAUGUAAUAAUUAUUUUUUCAAAAGAUGCCAAAAACAAAGAUUUGAUUAGAAAAGACUAAUCAAAUGUCAUGAUGAAAACUUCUAAGUUUCUAGAAAUUUAUUUAUCAAACUUGAAAUUUAUGAAAUUGAUAUGAUACAUUUUAAAUUUCUUGUUUAGUAAAAGAAGACUAGAUAUUAUUAAAAAGAAUUAUACUUAUAUUAUAAAGAAUCUAAACACAUUAGCCACCAUUGUCCAAAGAAGCAAUGUAAUCAAAAAAUAAAGAAUAUGGUUAUAAAAGAGGAUAAUAUAUUAAAAAAUGAAUUUUUCUAGCUAUAAUAGGAAUUACAUGCUUAAAAUCUACUUUAAUACCUAAUAAAGAUUCUAUUCUCUCUUUAGAUCUUUCACCUUAUUGUACAAUAAAUGUUUGCUUAGAACCAAAAAAUUACAAAGUUUCUAACUUAUUAGAUUUAAAAGCCUCAACUUAUUUUAUAGAAAAUAUUAUAUUAUAUAUAUAUAUAUAUAUAUAUAUAUAUAUAUAUAUUUAGUAAAAAAAGUAAGUCCAUACAUAUAGAAGUCAUAAAUGAUUGUUUGUUAUUUUUUGAAGAUGUAAUCCAUAAAAUUAUUUCUAUCAAGAUAGAAAUUAAUAGAUAUAAUGGCUUAGUAAUAAUUGAUGUUUUUAAAUCUCCUUAAAAUUUAAUCAUUUUAAAUUUAUUGCAGCUAAAAAAGUAUAAUCUUUGAAUAGACUAAAUUUUUUAGAAUUUCAAUUGUUUCUAUAGCAAUUUUGUAUCAUAAUAUAGUCAUUAGGUAAAAAAAAGAAUAGUUAUAUUAUAGAAGAGCUUAAAUAAAAAUAUUAUAGAAAAUUAUCUUUAAAAUAUAGAUAAUAGACAAAGAAGUAAUAAAAAUUAAUAAAUAUUGAUGUUGUAUUUUUAUAUAAAAAAUAAUUUUAUUGACUUUUUAGGACUAUAAAUGAGGCAAAUAAAAAUAGAUAUGAAAUAUUAUUUAUACAAUUAUCUUUAAAAAAGAGUAAAAAAUAUUUAAUAGUAAAAAUUACCUAGGAUUGAUUAAGCUUCAUUAGGAUUUUAAUUAAUAAUUUAAUUAGGAUUUAAUUAGUGUUUGAUCUAAGAUUUGGUUAAGAUUCAUUAGAAUUUUAUUUAAAAUUAAAUUAGAGUUGAUCAGGAUUUACUUAAGAUUUAUUUAUUAUUUUUAUUUUUAAAAUUUAUUUAGGAUUUUUAUUAUUUUUUUAAAUAAAGUAUAUAUUAUUACUUUAUGAUUUUAUUUUCAUAUUUUUUAAAGAUUUUUUUAUUGUAUUUCUUUGAGAUUAAUUUAUGAUUUUAUUUUAUUUUAUUUUAUUUUUGUAACUUCUUUUAAGUUUUUUUGGAUUAUUUUUAGUUUAAUUAGGAUUAUUAAAAAUUACUUAAAGUUUAAUAAGACAUUGGACUUGAUGGAUUGUUAUUGCAUUUUUACCUUCUAUAGCAUUUUCAAGCAAGAAUACAUGUAAUAUGAUAUCAAUUGUGAAUCAAGGUUGAAACCACAUCCAAAGGCAUAAACUUAUACAUCUUUAGUAAUUUAAGAGUUUUUUAUUUGAUUAAAGAGAAAAUUUUGAAAGAAGACUAAAGAGAGGUACUUUGGACAUUAAUUUUGAGUAAUUUGAGUUUGUAUUGAGUUUAUAAAGGCUUUUUAUAGUUAAGAUUGUUUAAAAAUGACUUUGGAUUUUUUAAAAAAAUAAAGAGCUUUACUUUAGAAUUUUUUUUAAAAUUGAUAAAUGAUCUAUAGAUGAAAAUUUGUAAAUUGUAUGAUUAGUCUUGUAUUUAAUUUAUGCAAUAAGUUUGAACUUGAUUUGAUGAUUUAUUCAAAGGUUUUUGAAAUUCAAACAUAUUGGAAUUUAAGAAAUUAGAGUUUAAAGGACUAGUGAAGAUUUCUUGGUUUUAUAAUAAUUUGCCAAUUGGAUUGAAUUAAAAUUUUGAAUUAUUAUAAUAGAUUUGAUUUUUAAUAUUUAUGAAAAGCCUAAAAUUCAUUAAAUGGUGAAAUUAAGAGACAUUGGCAUUGAAAAAUUGGCAUUGAAAAAUUCGCAUCAAGUUUGGAGAAGGAGACCAAGCAACAUCCAAAAAAAUUUAGAAUUAAUUUAUAUUUGAUAAUUCUGAUUUUUUUAAAAAAAAUUAUUUACUGUUAACUUAAUAAUAAAAAAGAGCAAAACUUUUGGUAUUAAAAUUUAUAAUUAUAUUAUUAAUUAUUGAAUUUUUAAUGUACUAUAGGAUUAUUUAAGAAUUUAUUUCAGAUAUAAGAUUUAAUUAGGGUUUUAUUAAGGUUUGAUUUAAAAUUUAAGAUUUGAUUGGAAUUUAAUAUAUGAUUUAGGAUUUUAUUAAGAUUUAGUUUAGGUUUUAAGAUUUGAUUAUGAUUUGUUUAAAAUUUCUAUUUUUGAUAUUUCUUUAAAAUUUCAUCAUUAUUUCUUUAGAAUUUUUAUAGAAUUUGUUAUGAUUUCUUUAAAAAUUCUUUAGGACUUCUUUAUAUUUAUUUUAUAAUUUUUUUAAGUCUUAAAUUAGAUUUAAUUAAUGCUUGAUUAAGUUUAUAAAGCUUUAAUUGAGGUUUAUUUAGGAUUCUACUAGAGUUGAUAGAAUCUUGUUGUUAUAAUGUCCAUUUUAUCUUCCAUAGUUAAAUACUUGGUGCAUUCUCAAGAAAGACUUCAAAUAAUAUAAUUACAUGUUUAAUUCGCAAAACAUGUGUCUAACUUAUAAGACAAGUUUUUUAUAUGUAUACUACAUAUCUAUGUUGUAUCACAAAUUAUCAAUAUGUACAACACGUGGCUAAUUUAUUAGCUAAGUUUUCAACCUAUCCAUCACCAACAAACACAUAUAAAGGUAAAGCUACGUCUAUGAAGCUUCUAAGAAGCUUCUUCACAAGAUAUUAUCUACUUUUAUCUACUUAUAUCUACUUAUAUCUACUUAUAUCAUCUAAGUUAUUAUUGGAAUAAAUAUAUAUGUUAAUAACAUUAUCUUUCUUUCUAAGAAUGACUUCCAUGAGGAGUAAUAAUCACAUGUUGAAAAAGUUUAAGAUGCAAUGAAUUAUAUUUAUCACAUACUCUGAUCUUUAUUCAUUUUGAAAGUAGAUGAUGGGUCUUAUCAACCAUUGAUCGUAUUCUAAAAGAUCACCUUGAUAUUUGGACAUUAUUAAGGCCUUCAUAACUUCCUUCAAACAAACUAUUUGAAUUACUAUUAGAAGUGGUUUUUACCUCCAAUAAUAUCACCAAUCAUUGAAAGUCUCUUCCAAGGUUGUGAUAUCAAAAUUUUUAUAUAUUACCAUCUAUUUGAAAAAAUGUGAGGCACGGAAUUGACUCACUUAGAUAUUUAGUACAAAAAAAUCACUUACGGUGCUUAAAAUCACAAAUUUUGUGAGUUAGUAGAGAAAUUCUUAGACAAUUAGAAAAAAUAGAAAUACUAGUAUAAAUCAUAAUCUAUUGUAGAGGUUCUUAAUAAGAAUUCUCAAGAGGGUUUUUUUAUUAAUAAAGCUAGUAUUAGAUUAUAAUCCAAUAAGGAUAGUUAAUUAUUAUUGAUUUUUUUAUUAAAGUAGAAAUAAAAAAAGAAUCUUAGAUUCAAAAAAAUCCAAAAAUAAAAUAAAAAACAAAAUAAAACAAUAAUAGUUUGUUACAAAUAAAAUAGAAUGAAAACAUUGAAUAGAAAAAGAUAGAAAAGAAAAUAGAAAAAAUGAGAGGAACUAAUAGAUAGAGAAAAUAAUAAUAAUAAUAAUAAUAAUAAUAAUAAAUUUCUUUCUUUUGCUACUAGAAAGGCCGUGGUUGAGGGGAUUUUGAAGCCAUAGUUAAUUGAAGAAGAAAAAAUCCCUAUAUAAUCUUUGGUCUUUAGAAGAAUAGAACCAAAAUUUCUAUAAAACCUAUCUUUGAUUAUAGAAAAAUUAAUCCCAUUAAUUUUUUAAAAGAUAAGAGAUAUUUUAAGAUAUAAGAUAAAUUUUAAAAUGUAGUCAAUUCAAUUGACUAAGAAUCAAAGAAAAUAGAAUGUUUAGAUCUCAAUUUUUAUUAUUGGAAGGAUGGGAGGAGAUUUAAAAAAUUGUUAGAUGAUAAUUUAAACUCUAAUUUUGAUUAUUACAAAGCAGUUAAUUUUUUAGAUUGUAGACGUCAAGGAAAUCAAAGUCCUUAGCAUUAAUAUAGAUAGAAUCUUAGAAGAAGAAAUCAAAGUCCUUAAAAGAGAUGAUGACUUAGUUCUACAUCUUUGAUUUCAAAAUACUUCAUCAAGAAUUAUAUUUGGCAAUAGAAUUUUUAAUUAUCUUCUUAUACUUAGUAAUUGGUAUAAAAACUCUUCAAGAAAAUUCUUAAUACAAGAAUUCAAGUAAAAACUCAUAGAUGUAUCAUACAAAGGAAAAGAGUCCAAAAAAAAUAAAAUUGGAGCUCAUUUAAAUUAAGAAGAGGUUUUUAGAUAUUGUGAUUUGAUCAUAAAAUAUCAAGAUGUUUUAGCUUGGUCAUAUAAAAAGUCAAAGGAUAUAUCACCUAAAGGGGCUUGAGAUAUAUAAGAAAUUCAAAAGAAGAAAAUUUCUUUUGAUAAAAAAACAAAAGAAGAAAGACUAACAACCUAAAAUAUUAUUACUAUUGCAAGAUGCCUAGAGAAUGGAUUUCCUUAGUAAAUUUGAUGUUCUUUGAUUAGGUCCUUAUUUCAUUUGAAAAAUCUUUGACAACUUCUUAUAAUUAGAGAUAUUAAAUGGUGAUAUUUUUCCAACUAGAACAUCAGAGAAUAGAUGUAAGAAAUAUAGAAUAUGAAAAAAUCAUCACAUAUUGAAAAAACACUUUAUACUUUUAUUACUCAAAUUGAGAGGGGAUCUAAUUAUAUAACUUAGCCAAAUUUUAUUUUUUUCCAAAAGAAUUGGAUCUUUGAUUCAUAAGAGAAACAAGAAUAAUUGUAUGAAUGGUUCUUGGUUCUACUAUAAUAUUAUCUCUUCUACUUAUUAGGAGAGAAAUUAAAACUUAUGUAAAGAAAGAAGAAUAAGUAAAUAAAUAAACAAGAUUUAUAGAAUUUCGAAAUAACUUGAAGUAAUUUAACAUCUUUGAAUUGUUACAUAGUUGGCCACAAAAGUAAUUAUGUAUGAAGUGAUUUAGGUUCAAAUUUGAUUCACAUAGUAAGCUAUCUUUAUAAAUUAGUUUUAAAGAAGGAAAGUAGCCAACUUGCACAACCUAGAGGAUAGGUAGGCUUCUAUGGCUUUUAAUCUAAUUCUUUUUCUUUAAAAGAGGAUUUUUUAAUAUCAAUUUUUAGAUUUUUUUAUUUAUUUCUACAUAUUUUAAUUUUUCUUCUUGUCUUAUUUUUUUUCUUUUUUUCUACUAAAAAAUUAUUUCACCUUUUUUUAAUAAGUAGAUUAGUUCUUCAAUAGUUUUUCUAUCUUGAGACAAUUAGAAUUAAAAAUAUAAAAGUAAAAUUAAUACUAACCACAAUCUUUUAUAUGAAUAAUUUAUUUUGGACCUUUUGCAAUAUUUCUUCUAUUCUUGAUAGAAUAUUAAAACUAAUAAUUACUAACUUAGAUAAGGACUUCCCAAGUAGCAAGAGCUUUUGAAUUCUUUACUUCUUUAAGUUGUCCUAGAUGGUCACUAUAUAUAAGUCAUGAAAUUGACUCACUUAGAUAUUUAGUAAAAAAAAUGAACUUAUAGUACUUAAAUCACAAAUUUUGUGAAUUAGUAGAAGAAUUCUUAAACAAUUAGAAAAUAUAGAAAUACUAUUACAAAUUACAAUCUAUGGUAGAAGUUCUUAAUAAGAAAUCCUAAGAUAAAUUCUUUAUUAAUUUAAUUAAUAUUAGAUUAUAAUCCAAUGGAGGUAGUUUAUUAUCAUUGAUUUUUUAUUAGGAAAGAAAUCAAAGACGAAUCUUAGAUUCAAAAUAAUUUAAAAUAAUAAAAAUAAAAUAGAAUGAAAUCAUUGAAUAGAAAAAGAUGGGAAAAAAAUAGAGAGAAGAAAAAGAACUAAUAAAGAGAGAGAAAGGAUAUAUAUAUAUAUAUAUAUAUAUAUAUAUAUUUUCAAAAUUCUUAGUAAUAGAUGAUGAUUCCAAUUUUUUAGGCAAGAGUUAUUGAAGUCCAACAAAGUACACUUCAAACCUCAUUCAUUAUUGUCUUAUUUUAUUUUUGUACAAAGAAUAGAGCUCUCCAAAAGGUGAAGGCAAGUACAUUAUUUUCCACUAAUUUUGCAACAAUCACUAUAAGCAUGUGGUGGCAACUAUGUUGAAGGCAUUUCCUAUUGUCACUUGAUGCUUAAGUAUUGUUGAUAUUGUCCAACUCAAGAUCAGGGCUUCUAGUUUUUUCUUAUAGUGUUGUAUGCUUCUUGAGUGUUGUUUUUUUUAUUUUUAUUUUUUCAUCAAUGAAUCAAGAUUGGCAUGCAAUAGAAUUGGAGCUUGGUUUUUUAGUAUUCUUAGUAUUGGCAACUACUUUUUUCUCUUGUUAUUUAAGAUAGAAUUGCAGUACCAUUGAUGGAUUCUUGAUUGCAGCAGAUGUGUGGUGGUUGCCAACACUUCUCAAUUUCUAGUUGUUAGUAUUAUUUGGUUGUGAUGGUUGAGUUGAUUUCAUUUUGUUGUUAAUCGAGUUGAAGUGGUGUUGCUUCUUUUUGUACAUAGUAGUUAAUAUUAUAGUCCUUGUAGAUUGAAGAGACACUCUUUGAGUAGAAGUGGAGUAGAUUAGAGGAUGUUAUGGAGAUAAGGACAUAGUUGUACUUCCUCAGUUUGUUGUAGGAUGCAUGAUCUUUUAUUAUUUACAUUACUUUUUUUCUUUAUCUUAUUCAAUGUCUUCUUGUACCAAUGAUAUAAAUCUUAGAAAAUCAAAAGAUUAAUACAUUCUUGUGUCAUUCAAAAAGAUUGAAGAAUUACUCAAAGAUGGUAUAAUAUUAAAUUAGAAUAGCUAUUACCAAAGACAAGAAUACUAAAAAGUCUUAAAAUAAGACUAAGAACUAAAAAGGCAUUGAUAAGAGUGAAGAAGGCUUCAUUUUUGCCUCCAUAUGUACUAUCCAACUGAGAGCUAUGUAGCGACGUCCUAUAAAACCUCUAAUGUGUGUCCAAUUUGUAAAACACAUGUUUUAACUUGGAAGAUAAGUUUCUUAUAUGUGUGCCAUAUUUUUAGCUUAUACUACAAGUUAUUCAUACAUGCAACACAUGGCUAACUUGUUGGCUAAAUUUCUAACCUAUCAAUCAACUAUAAACAUGUAUAAAGUCAAAUACAAAUCUAUAAAGCUUCUAAGAAGCUUUGCCACAAGAUAAUAUCAAAUCCACAUAUAUUUACCUUCUAUCUAGUACUACUUAUCUAAGUAAAUAUGUAUAUCCAUGACAUUAUCCUCAUUUUUAGGGACAAGUUCUACAAAGAAAUGGUCAUCAUAUAUUGAGGAAGUCGAUGAUGCAGUAAAUUAUAUUUGCCACAUAUUCUGAUCUUUAUUCACUUUGAAGGUGGUUGAUAGGUCUUCUUGACAAUCAAUAAUGUUCUAUUCUAGUGUAAGAAGACUACCCUAUUAUUUGAUCAUUGUUGAAGCCUUUGUAAUUUUUUUCAAAAAAAACAUUUGUAAAAUCAUCAAGAAUUGUUUCUACCUUGAAUAAAAUCACCAAAUAUGAAGAAUUUCUUUUAAAGUUGUGAUAUCAAAUGCAUUAUAUCUUGCCAUCUAUUUCAAGAAGAACAUGUUAAUCUUGAGGAUCUUCAUUUCUAUUACAUUGUCUUGAAGGUUGUGACAAUUGCAAUGUCUCAUGUAGUAAAUCAGCAAACAAUAGCUCUUGAAUUAAGUCUCUUAGUUAUUGAUUUUCUAUCUCUUUAGCACUACAAAUACAUAUAAAUUAAAAAUAAAGAUAGAAGAUAAAAUGCAAUCUUUCAUAAAUAAAAAUUUUUUAAUAGCAAAGAUUUGCUAUUCUUCAUCUUAAUUUUAAUAGAUAUCAUCAAUCAAAAGCAUCAACCUUCUUUGUUGCAUUUGCAAGAUUCUUUGUUGGCUUCCAUGUGUGUUUACUAAUAUCAUAUCGACAUCGAUAAACAAGAUAUUUCAACCUAUUUCAAUGUUGUCUUAAAUCUAAGACUCAUUCUACCUCAAAUUUUUAAUUAUUAUCCACUUCUAUAAGAUGAGGUGGCAUUUGUCUUCUUCUCAAGAUAUUCACUAUCUUAUAUGGUUGGCAUAUAAAAACAAUAAGUUAUUUACCAAUUAACAAAUUAAAUCAAUGUAUUAUCAUAUUAUCAUCAUACAUAUAUCACCAUAUAUGUUUCACUUCUUAUAUAUUUACCAAUAUGCUAAACAGAUAUAUUAAUGGAUUUAUCAUAUGAUAAUAUUGUAUCAACUAAAAUGAGUACAUAAGAUUUUAAAUGGUAGAAAAUCAUAUUAUACAAGAGAUUUGUGUAAGAUUACAAAUAUUUGUAUGCCAUGAUGAUUAUGAACACUUUGUAUUAUCAUAGAAGAUUUGUAAAUAUUGUGAAAAUUCAACUAAUUUAUUAAUUAAAAUAAUAGAUAAAUAAACAAACAAUAGAUAAAUACCACUUAUACUAUAUAUAUAUAUAUAUAUAUGCAUACAUACAAAAUAGAUGCAUAUUUAUACAUAUCAUUGAAAAGAUCAAAUUCUUUUAAAACAUCAUUUAUUACAUGUAUGAAUAUGUUAAAAACAUGUAUUAAUUUUAAUAAUAUAAAAUUUAUUUAAAUAUUACUUAUUUUACAUAUAAAAUUUUUUUUAUCUAAAUCUCUUAUUAAUGUAUUAAAUUUUUAUUUGAUAGGAAUUUAGAUAAUGAACUUUGAAAGAAAAAUUAGAAACCAAGAAAUUUUAAAUAAUGCAAUACAAAAUUUAACACAAAAUCUAUUAUCCUAUGAAAUAAAUAUUUUUUUAAUAGCUAAUAAAUCCUUCAAAUUAUUUUAUAAAUAAAUUUGAUUUAAAAUUAAAAAGUAAAAAUAAAAAUAAAAAACUUCUUUUUAUCUUUACCAUUCAUAUGUUGCAAACCAAUUCAAUAAAAAUUUGUUUUUUAUUUUCCUAGCGCAUGGGUUUUACUGCUGAAAUUGAUAUAAUCCGAACCUUGUACAAAUAGUUGGUGCAAAAAAGAGACGUUUUUACCAAUCUAGCAUAACAUCUACACUCUCAUGAGUUAUAAAGGACAGCAUAUAAAUCUCAUGUUCAGUAUUCUUGGCCUUGUUUACAAACAUGACUGCAAAAUCUAUCGAAUGCUCUGUUCGAAUAUGGCAAUUUACUUACCAGUUAAUAACACUACGCUCAAUCACGUGGUCUCUUUACAUUAUGUACACUGCCCUUAUAUAUUACCAUAUUGAGAUUUCCCUUCGAUUGAUUCUCAAAACCAACAGCCAUCACAGAACUAUCGUCACGGCUUGUUUUUUUACAGCAUAGAAGACUCUUCCAAAUGAUGUGCCAGAAGUUCGUUGUUUCAGAAUUUAACCAAUUAAUAGUGUAAACAAGAAUAAAUAAAUAAAUAAAAAUAAAAAUAAAAUCAGAGAAGCAACUAAGUGGGGCAUAAUUUUCAUUCAAACAAUUGGAGACCUUAAAAAAUGUAAGAAACCUAGAAAGAUCUUAGGGAAGACUAUCGAAGAACAGUAAGAGAAACAACAGAAGAAAAGAAAGAAGAGGAAAAAGGAAAAGGGGAAAAAAAAAAAAACGUUAAUACUAACCUAAUUGCUAAAUCAUGCAGAAAAGGAACCCAAAAUCGUCAAGUCCCAUCGCAUCAUCAAUCCCAGAAUGUAAGCUUCACGAAUUAAGCACAACAAGAACAGCAAUGUACAUUGAAACUGGGUGCAGCGACUUCAAAGCGCUACAGUUCCCAACCACUGGACUGGAACCAUCGCAAAAAAUGCUGUUGCAUGUUCAAUAACGCUGUAACCAUUGCCUAGCAAUGAUUGAACUAUAUCCCAGCUAGCAUUCAGUGCUUACUGGUGUGUCACAAAAUAAACAGCUCGUAACAUGACGAUUCUAUCAACGAUUUAUAGGUCAAUGACUCUGGACAAUUUCUGUAUGCGAUUGAGCAGGUAAUCUCCCUGCUUGAUAGUGGACUGAUACAGAGCAUUCUUCGCAUCUGGUCUGUUGGUUUCGAGGACGCCAGCCACUUUGUCAAUCUUACAAUUCAACCUUCCGGCAGCAAUAAACCUUGAAAGUUCCAAGUCCAGAAAAUUGACGCUAACACCGAAAGCCUUCGCCAUAGCAUCCAUGGUAACGCUCUUGUAUGACUCGAGAAACUGCGAGUAAGCUACUGAACGCACUUCACGCAUGUAGAAUCGGAUGUGUGGAUGUAGGUACCGGUCAAGUCUAAUUUGAUCGGUCAAACCUGCAAAUGCCACAAAAAAUGUUUCGUAGUGACAAUCGUAUAGGGCAUUAAGAAAGUCGGAAAGAUGGUUAAUCUUCCCUAUUACGGUAAGGAUCUCUGGAGCAUCCACCACUUUCUGCCUCAAAGCCACACGGUCCAGAGAGAUGAUGCUGGUAAGUACGGAGUAGAAGAUAAAGGUAUCGUAAGAGAAAAGCUCGGUGGUAGUGAACGUUGAAAUUGAGUCCAAGAACAAAUUAGCUGCUUGCUUGAAGUUCCGGGUUGCCAUACAAUACAAUCCCUCGUACACCUUCAAUCUGUUUUUCCGCUCCCAAUCACCGCCCUCGUCAAACAAACUCUUCGCCUUCUCAAUAUUACGCAAAAUUAGAGCAAAAUCGAGGUGAAAAAAACCAAGGCGAAGGGUAUGGAACACGAGGUCCAUCUUUUGUCCCACUGCCACCGUCUUCGCUUCUGUAAUUUUCAAUUGUUCCAACGAAUUUUCCUUGUCACCGAUACGGAUAUAAAACAGCGCCUUCGCCAGGAGUGCCUCUCGCACCUCACUCUCACCCAAAUUUUCCUCCGCAUCCGCAAUCUUGUCAUCAAGUCUCUUCAACUCCUCAGCGUUCUUCGCGUUCAUCGCAUCCACACACCCCUGAUCGAGCUCCCAGCCAAGUUCAUGACAGUAAAACUGAUAAAGCCCGGCCAUGUCAUCCGACUUGAUGAGAGCCAACACUUCCUCCUUCAACGACGCCUUCUCGAUGUCCUCCACAUCGGGAGACCGCAGCAGAAACAGCUUCUGCGCCAGGGACAGCUUGGAAUCCUGCGUGGCUUCUUUCUCCUCCAUCCCUAAAUCUGCUUCAAUACCAAUCACCAACGUUUAGGGUUUGCAACAGCUAAUUAGGUUUCAAGCUGAAGAUACCUCUCACCCCCCCCCCCAAAAAAAACUGAUUGUGACGGAACCCCAACAACCAGAAAUCAACCACAACCAGCCCCAACAGCUCGAAAUCCGAUUGCGAUGCACUCUCCCCUUCACUCAAUCGAUCGAUCGCCCAUGGGCUAUGGCGGACAGAGGGAACGGGAGAUUGCAAUGUUGCCAGAACAAAUGAGAAAUUUUGCUCCUACUUGCAAGUCUAUGUUCUUCUAGCAGAGAGGGAAAGUGGCCUUUGUCGUCAAUCCGCCCUUAAAUGAACAACAAUCGUCGAAGCCACGACAGCACCCCAAAGAAACGAACGAAACUCGUCGUCGCUUGUGUCCUGUUGCUGGAAAGCUAACCCAGUGAUAAGUGAUUCCUAUUGAUUCAUUCACUUUUGGUCGCUCAUUCAGUUGGUCGUGUUUCUAUGAAAAUUUCACCAGGUUGGUGUAGUCUCGUACUUGCUACUUUGCAAUGGCUGUGUGCCUUUGUGCGUGUAAAUGUGAUUGAAUGAGUUUUUUAAACGGAACUCUAUAUUACAAGUUUGUCAUGAUUUUAGGGCGAACGUACAUUUGUGAGAUAUGCCCAGGUGUUAAGUUUGUGAUAUUUGUAUGUGUUUGUGAGUACAAUAGUAGUGUUUAUAUGAUAUCGAAUUUUGAGGACAGAUUCACAAAAUGGACUUUAUAUAUGUAGAUGCAAAUACAAUGACAGUCGUAACUGAGUGUGAAAUCAGUAAUCUUGAUUUUAACUAGAAAUUAUGAUGAAUGUGAAUAUAAAUAUAUAUAUAUAUAUAUAUAUAUAUAUAUAUAUUAUAAUAUAAAUUAAAUUUGAAAGUGAAUUAGAUUUUAAUAUAAGUUAAUGAUGUAGCAACCAAAGUAUAAGUCCAACAACAUAAAUGGAAGAGAGAAAUAUGUGGAUCAAAUCAUUUGUUUCUUAAGUUUGGCUUUUCAAUGUUGAGAAGUAAUCUAAACAAUAAAUCCAAAAUUCAUAAGUGGUUUUUUAUGCUUGGUUGAGAGAAUGGAUAUGGUAAUACGCCUUAGUUAUAUAAUUUUACACACCACAAGUGCAUACCAAAGCAAAAUUGCUUCAUUAAGGUAUGUCUCUUAAGCUAAAAGACAACAAAUAGAAGUUAGUGGUUUGGCAAGGGUGAAGAGGGAUGAAGAUAUAAGAAAGAUUGCAUGAGAUUUGCAAGUAUCCCAAGAUAUUAUUGUACAACUUUUUGAGCACACUUGAGUAAGUUGAAUAGUAAAAAUUGUAAUCUUGGUGGUAGACCAAGAAUAUUCAUUUUAGUAGAUCAAAGAGCAUAUAUACAAGCAAUUACUAAUGGUGGCUUUGAGGCACCUAAAGUAGGCAUUUAUAUGAAAAAGGACCUACAUUAUUGUAUGUGAUUCCAUUGUAAAAAGGAUAUUAUAUCAAACAUGCUUAAAAUCCAAAGUUAAGCAAAAGAAACUAAAGCUCAUAACUAGUCAAAUAAUAUCAAGAUUAUAAUUUGCAAAAUGUUAUAAACAUUAGACAAACAAUGACUGGUCACAUUUUAUAUACUUUGAUAAAACAAAAAUGAAUUGACUUUAUCUCUAAUGGUAGUAGCUAGUGCUUGAUUUGUAAUAGAAAGUCUAUAAGUAUAAGAGAUGGUGACGUUUGGAGGUGGAGUGAUGAUGUAGAGUUGUAUGACCACAAAAGGCCUUAGUAUGAUAGGCAAAAUUGAGAGAACAGCAUACUAACAUCUUUACAAGAAAGUUUUAGAAUGCAAGUUGAUGUAUACAUUGCAUGCAUACAAUUUGAGUUUUGAAAAUGUGAUUAUUCAACCCUUCAAUGAUUCAAAGAAAAUAUCCAAACUUGUGACUUUGUGGUUGAAUUUAUAAGAAUUUUUCUUCUCAAGUUGCCAAUACAAUCUCCUAACCUCAAUCCAAUUAAACAUUUAUAAACAUUUCUCAAAUGUUGUUUGAACCAAUUCAAGACCUCUCCAAAAGAAAUGUUAGAGUUAUAGACUUAUAUUUAAUAUUGUUAAACUUCAAUCACUCUUGAUGAAUGUAAGGGAUUAUAUAGAAGCAUGCAAAAGUGUAUUUGAGUCAUAAUUAGGACUAAUGGUAGAUGGAAAAACUAUUAGAUCUACCUUAGAUAUUGUGAUCAUAAUUGAAUUUAAGCCCUAGAUUCCUGCUUAUUUUUUUUCCUUUAAUAUAUGUAUAAUCGACUUUAGUCAUUGUGCAAAUAUACUCUAUCAUUACAAGAGCUAUCUUCUCCAAUUAAUGGUAUCAUUUUUAGAACAUGUGUUUUUCCUACAUUGAUUUUGAAUUAGAUCAAACUGAAUUCAUACUAAGUUCUAUGACUAUCAUUGUAGGUAAAAGAAUUCACAAAAUAAGCAAAACUUGUAAGGUAACUUUUUCAGAAUGACCAUCAGUGAUCUGCUGAUUAAUUUUCCUCAUUUGCCCAUGAGAACAAGAUAAAAGAUAAUCUGAAAUUAACCUUCGUGUACUGUAAGGUUCAAAUUUGGAAUAAGUUGGUGAAAACGAGAAUCUUUUAAGAAAUAACAUAAAAGCUUAGAAUCUGUGAGAGUUAGAAUAGAAAGAAUAACUUUUUGAUAAGAAAAUGCCAAUCCUAGAAUGCAGCAAUCUCCAUAUGUAACUGGAGUUAUCUAUUGAGCCUAAAAAGCUGCAGGCUUAACUCACAGUCAGUUCAAGAAUAUGAUACCACAGGUCUUAUCAUCAACAAAAGAGCUUCGAACAAAAGAUAUCGAUUUUAAAAUAAAACCAAAUUACAGAUGUGCAGCUUUGCACUCUUUCGUACAACCUCCAUUCGGAAACACUUCAGAAUCUAAGGAAAAUAUCAAAACUCUCAGCUUAUCUAAAAGGAAGCUGAAAAUGAAACAGUGUACUCUCUGCAAAAUAACAAAGUAUUGACAGGAAGCUGUUACCCCCUCUUCCUUUGGACUUGAUAUGCCCGCGUAUAGUAAUAUACACAAGUCUAGACUACAAUUUUCUUGAAUAAUUUCUCAAAUGCUCAGAAUUCUUUUGUAAGAAAAAAUCAUCCUCAGGCAAGGAAGCUGUGGCUUCAAUAUCCUCCUCUGGUCUCUCCUCCCUGUGUUCAAUGGGAGCAAUGGAAAUACGGUUAUUGCUAACUACGUUUGUAGCCCACCAUUGCUGAAAGUCUUUGGAUCUGACUAAUUCACUAACUGCCUCUCCAGUCAUAUCAGUGGCCUUGUAAUCACUGCCACUCAACGGCUUGCGAUCUGGAGUCUUAUGAAAGGUCGAGUAAACUUCUUUCCGCCGGGGAGGAGACGGAGACGCCAGGUCAGCUACAGGCGCUGCGUUCAUCAAAUGACGAUGACAAAACGUAAGCUACGGAGGAUGACAACAUCGCAUACUCUGUUCUAAAUAAGUUGAUUAUUAUUAUUAUUACAAUAUUAUGAUAAGGUUCUAGCUUGCAACUCAUGGCUGUUACUACAGAGACUAUGUACAUGACUAUGACUUUUAAUACAAUGACUAAGAAUUUCCUCUCAAGGGCAAUCUCGCCCCAUCACUUAAACCACAUGAAAAUCUUUGGGUCAAGGAUAGUUCCUAAUCAGGCAAGUGGUCAAAUGUCCCAAUAAUAGGUCUAAAAAGAAUCAAAACACCACCCUCUUUGAUAUUCAGCACCCACUUUGGUACCAAAUAGCAUAUACAAGAGAAUCUAACCAGCUUGCAAUCCCGUUGUACCUAUUUGCAAUGUUUUGAGGAUGGCAAUUUUGAAUUGCUCAUCGUACACAGUAUAUAUGCUUCAGAAGACAGUGUUUACCUGCAAAGUGUCUUUUUGACAGAGCACUGACUUGCUCCCACCUCGUCAGGGCCUCCUUCCCGGGAAGUUUCUGCAGAGAAUUUGCCUGAGUUUUAGUCAUUGGCAUCUUGUUGACACUUCGCUUCGAAUGGGAUCGAAAGACAUCGUGUCUUUGCAGUCUUUGCCGUCUGUUCUUCCGUAAACACAAGAGGUCAGUGAGAAAACUUCCAAUAAAUAUAGGCUAUUGAGCCUGAUACCUCUUCCAUCAUCAGGUAAAUACUUAGCACAUGCCUCCCUUCCAAAAGGCUCCAAAGUUCCAAAAUAGACAUUUCUAAACUACCUCACCUUUUUAGGUUUCUAGUUUCACAAACAACUAUCUACUAGAAUGCAGGAAAAUCACCAUAUUUUAGAGGUGUCCUGCUGCAGAAAUUGACGAUAUUCGGCUAACAUUCCUGCACAUAGAAAGACUCAACUACAGAAAAAUAAUCAGACAGCAUAUGCAUACCAAUCGAUAUUGGUGAAGCUUGGUAAAAUAAACUUACUUGAACCAGAAUUCUUGUAGCUUUUCUCCUGCCCACGCAAGCACUCCUUCUGAAUUCCAAUAGCUACACAACAGCAGAAUCGUCAAUAGUGAUUCCCUUCGGAAUACACCAUGAUGAACAGAGAGUGUAGGAGUAGCAUGCUUACUGGGACCACAGACGCUCAAGACCUUCUGCAACUUCGAGGUUCUCUAGAACGUUGAAGAAGUUCCCUAAAAUCCAUGUCGCUGCUGAUCCUAGUGCAAGUGCUAAUAUAGCAAAAACGAUGUCGUAUGAGGACUGCAACAAACACAAUAUAUUGAUAUCCUAUAUUAGCUAACUAACAGCACAGUGAAAAAAAUAAAAGAUAACUAUAGAUGUGACUACAUAACAUAGAAGCAACAGGGACAAUAACUCAUUGACGUAGAUUUUUUUUCUUUUUUGAUAAUUUUUACGUAACGUAAUUGAUUUCCGAUGAUAAAAGAGAUAAAUCAACCCGAGGGAGCAAUUCUGAAAUCCUCACAAAAUCUACAAUGAAGAUUUACAAGAAUCGUUGAAGAGAAACCUCUUGUUGGGUGUACUGAUAUUCUUAAGCCUGAACAAUGAUUAGGUGAAACUAGCACCUGAAGAAGCAUGACACCACCAAUGAAACGAAUUGCCCACUUCACAAAUUUAGCAACACCAGUAUCAACACUUCCAUCUUCAGCAAGUACCACUUUCCGCACUCCCCAGAAGCCAACCCAAGCACCGAUGAGAACAACACCAAGAGCAAGGAAUACCGCUAUCUGUUCACAUUAAUCAAUCAAAAGUUAACAUCCAACAUAACAAAGACGUUGUACAGAACAUGGAGCGUGGUUGUGAACUCUCACAAGUCACCUCCUAAUUGUGACUGUAUCGAAGAUUUUCGUAACGAAUGAAAGGCUUGUGAACCAACAUAGAGCCAAACAUUCAUAAACUGAGACAAGCUGAGGGUAAGAAAACCUUCAAAAUCAAUCACCGUAAUUUGAAGGCUUCCAAGACAGCGAAAUAGUAGAAUUGCGGUUCAUAUUGUUAAAAGAUGGAAAUGAGCAGUCCUUACAGGGUUGUACAUAUCAUCGCUAAGUCCAAACUCCUUGAGAAGGGUGCUGACGAGUACACUGAAAUAGUGAAUAACUACAGUUCCCAUCCCUAGCUGCAGAACACAAAACCAGUGGAAAAACUCGGCUUACACAUUUCUCACAAUCAAAUAAUAGAAAGUUCUGGACGAAUAUCUAAGUGUAAUUUUCGAGACUGAUUAUCCUGGAAGUUCCUUACACAAUAAGAACACUUGACUAGGUUAAUACAGCUCCGAUCAUCAGAGAACAAAUGCCAAGACAUACCAGCGAACCAUAAAGUAGAAGCCAGAGUGAACUCCUGCGCCCAGUUGGUAGCAGCUUCAUGCCCUGAGAACGUCACAACCAAUACCUUGUGUCAGCGAGUCAAGAGUUACAAAGCACACUAAGAAAGCAGACAUAAAUACACAGUAAGAUCUGGACCAAAUGAGUACCAAAUGAACAAAAGGAAAUAAUACCUGCUUAAUAUUCCAAGAAUUUCAUGACUUAAUCCGGCAUUAUUAUCAACAUUUUCUCAUGCAUGCAAAUCCACAAAAGAUUCUCAAAAAGCUAAUGUUACGAAAGGUCUUAUUACGUCAUAAGGUAGGGCCUUUCAGAUUGUACCUGAUACAGUAGUACAAUGAUCACCAAGAAGACGCCCAAGGUCAUGGCACUGCUGUAGUAAAAUGGCACCCAAUCGCUCACCAAAGGAGCCAACAACAUCAACAUCAUCCCCAAAACCAAAAAAGCAAAUCGAAAACCCUGGCUCUCUGCAAAAACGACAUAGUAGUUAGACUUCCGUAGUUAAAAAACAACAUCACCAUCGGCAAGACCGCAUCAUGGCAUCACAAAACCCUCACAGGAGCUAAAACUCAGAUGAAGGUGAUAUUGAUGAUUGAUCCUGAAAGCAUAUCCAUAUGAUUAAAGAUUAAACUUGCAUGAAGAAAUCUAACACUAAUAAGAAAAAGAGCGCAGCACUGAAAUCAAGCCUAAAAUUUCAUUGCUAAGGAUAUACAACCGUCAACUAAGCGUACCUUCUUCGGCGGAUAUACUCAGGGAAACAUCUGUAUGAGAAUCGGUCAAUCGAAGAUCGACAUACUUGGUCUCAAAAGGAGACGCAGCUCCAGACCAGGAACCCUUCUCAAGAGCUCGCCAGCUCUCCCUUGAGCACUGCGCCACUUCCAUCGACCCAUUCCUGCAGAUGAUACAUCAUCGUGAUCACUUCAUAAAGCUGCAAAAUAAUAACGUUUCGCAUGCAAGGAAGAAAAAACAUUAUAGACAACAGCAUACAAAAGAACAGUACAUAUAUGAUGUAAAAUCACAUGUAUUCUCCAAAAGAACGCAACGAAGGUAAUAGUGCCGUAAAUAAGAGUCUGAGAGAAUUUUAAAGGCAUCAACAAAGUAAAUGAGAAUAUGCAGAAGUGUCCAGGUCUGCGACAAACACUUUUCGCAGGGAUCAUCUUUUUCCAGAACCAUCCGAAUAGCAAGUAUUUGGACUCACCGAUGCAUGCACACCUCAACUUUAGGAGGAGCUGGCCUGUACGCAGGAGUAGCUUCAGACUGCACCUUGACUCGUGUGAUAACUGCAAAUUUUUCGAUAUUUGAAAACCGAGGGAUGCCAUGAAUUCGAACUCGCAUGCACGCCACAAGAUUCCCCGGUUUCACUCCCGGUGAAGUUUCCACAAAGACGCCAUCAGCCAAAGGGUGUAACGUGAUGGAUUGGCCUGCUGAGACAUCUGCCAUGAAUAAAACCACUUGUUGGUAACGGUGCAGAACAGCAAGAAACCUUACCAGAAUUAUCGUUGUGAAUUAAGCUUCUUUCUUCUUCUUUUUUUCCAUUCAUCAUAAGUCGUACCUAAACCCCCCUCAAUGCCAAAAUGCAACAAAAUUCUCAGCAAUUGACGAAAACCGCUCCAAACACUAAGACUUUUGUCCGUCCAGUCAUCAUUCCUAAACCCUAAAACUUAAAACGCUCAAAACUGAUUUAAAUUCUCUAGCCUGAGUCUCUCUGUCCACGAAAUACCCACAAACUCUGAAGUUCAACCCACCUCACCCAAGUCCACCUGCCACAUUAUCAUACCUGGGAAAGGAUUAACUCCGAGCCUGUUACUCGCCACAACGGCUCUCCCCAAUACUUGCAUCAGCAACGCCACCACCAGCGCCCAUACAAACGGGCCCCAAAGGACGACCUUCAUGCUUGCCGCCCUUCUCCGCUCCAAUCAACUCCUCAAUAAUCCAAACGAUCAAUUCCUCCUCCCUCUCAUACAACCAGCCCUUCCUCCCACUCCACCUCCUCCUAUACCUCCUCCUAUACCUCCUCCGUCACUGCAAAACAAAACAAAGCGAAACACCACAAUAAGAAAGUAACCAAAAAAAAAAGUACACAAUGCGCAACACAACUAUUUCUUUGAAAAAGUGAGUGAACAAACAGGUGGCACUGACGACGACGACGAUCUGCAACUAGGGGACGAUUGUUCAAAAUCCAUCAAAAGUGCCCGAGUCAGUCCCAACCCAAUUCAGCGACACGACGAAGAAUAAUACUUGAGUAUCACGAUGCAGGAAGGAGGGAUGGACACAGAUUGAUCUAAAGAUGUGUGAAACAGAGAGGAAAAGAGAGAAAGAAAGAAAGAAAGGGCAGAUUGAACACGACGACGACGACGACAACGACGGAGCUACACCUCUCUCUCCCUGAUGGGGCUGAGCAAUCGCCGACUCUCUCAGUUCCUAGUUACAAACUGUGUUUGUAUUUUCUUCCUAAAAUUUAUCCCACAACGCAAAUUAAGAAACUAAGAGGAAAUCAUAAAGCUCUUUAAAUUUUAAGGAGAACGUGCGACGCGCGAAGCGAGGAUCACGACACAUGCUUUCCUCCGUCGUCGGGCUACUCCAAAAACUUCUACGUCGUCGUCGUUUUUGCUAUGCCGCUCUUUCAAAGUCGUGAGUGCGUGCGUGAGUGCAUGUUGUUGUAGUUGUUGGAGCCUUCUUUCCAAGAUGUGGUCCCACGAACAGAGUUAUUGUGUGCAUGUAUGUAUGUAUAAAUGUUUUUCUUUGUCAAUUUCCAAUAAUAGAAAGUGAAAUUUGUUAAGAGAAUUCUAGUUGCCAAUUGUUUGUUUAGUUAUUUACAUAAAUCAAUUUAUAAAAUUCCCAAUAAUUUAAAUAUAUGCACCACAUCUAUUAUUGUCGCUAAAUAUUUCUUUAAUAUUCAACAUAAGACAUAUGUAACAUUAAUUCAAAGAAUUGCAUGUUCUUUUAAUUAAGUUUGCUGAUUGUUUCUUCAAAAUUCGAAUUAGAGACAUUAACUGGUCCAAAAUCUUGUGAUAUUUUAGACAGAGCAUGCAAUUCUUGAAUUUCAUAUUGCAUAUAUUUUAUGUUGUUAAAUGUACAGAAAUGUAUUUGAUUCUAUAGUCAUCUUAAAUUCAUGAUAAUCAUGUUGACAAAUUAAAAGGAUCCAUCACCACAACUUUUAUUAUUUAAAUAUUUCAGAUUUAUAUUAAAAUUAUGAAUUGUAUUUACAACUAACAAAAUCACUAAUGAUUUAAGUCUUCAAUUCUUUCUUGGUCCUUUUUUUCAAAAUAAUGGUGGAAGAGUUUAUAUAAAAAAAAUUACCUCCAGUAAUAAGCAUAAUUACCAUACUUUUUAAUAAAAUUUACAAUAUAAGAGUAGAAUAUAUUGCAAAUAAAUUUUUAUAUAAAAUAUUUGAACAGAAAAAUCCAUUUUUCAUAAAAGAAGAGAAAAACAGAUAGAACAUAAAAGAUAAUGUAUUAAAAUAUCAUCUUACAAACACAAUAGCUUGCUUUAUCGAUAAGUCUUGGGCAAACUAAAGAUUUUUGUAAUCAAUUUUUUUUAAAAUUUUUUUAUACAAAACCGUUCUAUUAAUACACAUAUGUUCUAUUAUAACACAGUUAUGAUUAGAACCAACUCUUUUUAAAUUGCUUUUUUAAGACAUCUUUUAGUCUAAGUAAAUUCUUUCACUUCGGCUCUUUGAAUUAUAAUAAUGAUUUUUGCUUAAAUAUCUAUAUUUUGGUACAAAAAUAAUUUAUACAUAUUCAUCUACUAAUUUCUCCAUCUACAAUAAUAUAUAUAUAAUUAUCUUAAUAAAUUUGUACAUGGUUAUGAAAUAAUAAAAAAUUCACAAACAGUUAGUAAAUAAAACUUAAUUAACAUUUAAGCUCUGGAAUAUUAAAUCAAAUUUAUUGUUAUAUUAAUUGGAGUACAAAUGAUUAAAAAUAAUAACACAAGUAUUAUAAAAUAAUAUAUUCUAAUCUUCAAACAAUUAUUUGAAGUUUUGAAACACAAUCAUUAUAUAUAUAUAUAUAUAUAUAUAUAUAUAUAUAUAUAAUCUUAUUUAAAUACAUAUCUAAUUAUUUUAAUUUUAAAUUGUGUUUUUUUUAAAUCAUAUUUAUUGAGAUCUUCAAUCAUGCUUGUCUUACAACUUCCUAAUCACAUAAAAAUCCUUAGGUAUUUAUUUUAAAUUUUUAAAGAAGUUUUAGAGAUUUUUUAAAAAAUUGGAAUUCAAAAAGUCCUAAAUGGUACUCAAGAUUGUAGAUUGUUGCAUGUUUGUGACAAUUUUUAGAUGGAAGAAUUAAAUUUUGUGAUUUGCAUUGAUGGAAAUAAAAUGCAUAAGUGGUAUUCUAAUUCUUAUUUUAGACAAUAUAAAUUUGUAUUAUACUUGUAAAACAUAAAUUAAAUUUUGAUAAAAAAAAAAAAAAAAAAAAACUUUCAUAGAAAGUUGUUUUUAUUAACUUAGAUGAUAAGUCUUCAUGCAAAGUCCUUAUGCAAAGUUCUCAUUGGAAAAAUUUGGACAACAAUUUAUUACACGAUUAUACAAUUUUUUACUUAACAAAAAUCAGCUUAGGCAGAAACAACCAAUGAUCACUCUUCAAUCUCUCCUUUCUCCUCUUCUUUCUUGGGUCUAAUCUAGAAUACUUCUACAAGAAGUAUUAAAAUUUUAGAUUAAUUUACAUUCUUUUUAGUGUAAUUAAUCCUUGUUUACUCAUUUACAUUUACUGCAUGACCACAGAGCAUGAAUUACUUGAAUCGAAUCUUGACUUGGGCAUUGAAAUUUUUAAGUGUGUCGAAUUACUUUUUAAACUUAGCAGUUUAGACCAUAUUAAAAUGUCUAAUUAAGCUUGCGUGAAGCAGUCUUCCGGUGCCAUUCCAAUUCCAUUACAAAAUUUCAAAACUACACUUCCAAUACUGUAGUAUUUGACCAAACCUAUUCUGAGUUCCGUACAUAAAAGCAUCAACUAAUCAGAAAACGAACACUUAAUGGUAACCAAGCCAGUUGAACAAAAUAAAAUUUAGUAUCAAGAAAUAAUUUCACAUCCACUUUGAAAAUCUAAUCGUAUUGCAAUAAUAACGAAUGCAUGAUUUGAGCAGCUUUUUAGAUCUGCCACUUUCAGAGUGUAUGUACAUAUAUGCCAUAUAAAAGAAUCUGUACACCAGCAUUGCUGCAGUAUGCUGGAAAGUAACCAUUGCACAAACAUCCUCCUUAAUCUUGUCUAGGUUCAAACGUUAUCGCAAAAUCUACAAAAUUAAUCGUAUUCGCUCUCUUAUAACUUAAAAGUGAGUCAUAAGAUUGUUAUGCGGCCUGCAUAAUUGUUCGGGCCACGAAGGCUAGAAAUGGUCAGAAUGCUGCAAAAUUAUACCCAUCUAUACGAAUGCUGAAGGAGAACUUGAGGAACUGAAAAUAUUCCAAGUAGACUCCAUCCGCAUCAAAUGUAGACGCUCCACAAAUGGCUGCAAAAGCUCUUCCUCAGGCAGCGGAGCUAGUGCCAUGCAUAUACUCAAUUCCAGUACGGCCUCAUCAUAUCGUCUGAAAUAAAGAAUAAACAUCAAUACUUAUAUGAACGAAUGAGUAUGUCCAAAUAGCCAUUCAGGAAUGAGAACAGCAGAUCAAUUGCUUGAUCUUAAAAUAGAGACAUGGGACGCAAUUCAUUAGAACACUCAGUUUACUUAUUUUAAUAUUUCAAACUUGAUAAUCAUUGCAUUAGGAACAAACAAUUUCAUAAAAUGUGUUGAAUGUUAGUACCGGCUGUGAUAUAAAACCAUGCCAUAUUCUUUCCGUAAAGCCCAGUUUCUAGGCUCCAAAUGAACCAAUCGCUCUAAUGCCAUCACAGUCAAUCUGCACAGAGUGUAAGAAUCAGUAUGAAGAAUAAUCUGCAGUUACUGCAAUUCUUCGAUAACCUUACAUAAUAAGCUAAAAAUGCAAUUUUACGGUGCCACACUUAACCAGACUUUAAUCAAAAUUUGAAGAGUCCAUUACCUAAGAUCCUCAGGUCGAAGCAUAGCUCCAACUGGAAGCCCUGCGUUGUUAAUUGCCCAGCUCGACCUAGACAUGUAUGGCUGCAGUGCCAAAUCAGGAGUCAGACCUGGUCUCGACUUGACUGCCCUCCUCCAGUACACAUUCUGCAAUAAAUAGAAUUGGUCAAGAGAAAAUCCACAAACGGAGUACUUGACCAGCAUUCACCAGAGCAUUUGAGAGAAUGCCGAAUCCAGAAACUGCUGUACAAACCAACUGAGACACAUCAAAAAAGUUUGCGGAUGAAGCCAUUGUUUUGAGAUAUUGAACUAAAUAACUCGACACAACCGGCAGUAAUUGAUAUUUUUCUACUUACUUUCAAGCUCUUUAGAAUCAAGCCGAGGAUGUCCCUGUUGGAUUUAGAUUCCAAAGUUCGAACAACCGAAAUGUCCAACACACGUCCAACGGUGGAGGAGAUAGAAUUUUGUUGUGACGAGGUUGAUGAUCGCCACUGUGAAAAAUCUUCAAUCAUCCAACUUUUCCCGCCUUUGCAAGGCUCAAAUACCAUCUGCUCAUGAUAACAGAACAAGUACAGAAAUGAGCACAUCUACAUACUGCACUUAUCCGUGCAGCUGUCAGUCAGUCACAUGACGACAGGCUAUACCCUUGCAUCCAGGAGGAAAUGCAUAGUAAAUGAGGAUCACGAUAAAUUCCUCAUUCAAAGGGUUUAGACCUGUGCAGAAUCAUCGAGAAGAGGCCAGACAAGAAAGGACUCGUCCACGGCCGCUCCUUCCAUCUUCACACCUAAUCUCCUGCAGACCUCCAUGUAGAUUAUGCCCAAAAGCACCCCUGCAGCAGAAUUGAAAUGUAGACAAACUGAGUUUGUUUUCGAAAAAUUUAUCAACUCAUAAGACGAGGUUGAGCAAUCGUAAAACCUGCUGAACUCUCAUAGAAGACAAACGCACCUGUGCCCGAUCCAAAAGCCAACGCAUGAUCCAUGUAUGAUUGAAAGGGAUCAUUGGAUGAAGAUGCCCGACUGAAAUCCAACACCUUGUACAGCACGCCGUUGACUGCCUUCAAAAUUUGCAGCGGCCGCCAUCUAUGUCUGUCACCAUCUAGAUGAUUUUCUACUUCAGCUACAAGUGCAUCGAUUUUCUCCAUCCAUCCACCAAUACUCAAAUCUCCUACCAUGAUAUCUUUGGGAUCGACGUUCCCUCUUGCCCUUGAUGACGACGAGGAGACAAGAGGGUGGGAAAUCUCGUUUUGAACAGCAAGAUUGUCCUUCUCUCUAUUCAAAGAUAUGAAGGCCUGGUCCUCGGCUGAAAUCAGCAGAGCACCCUGCAGAAGGUAGAAAAAAAUUAGAUUCUAGCACGACAUGGUCAAUUGUGGCAGUCAAAACAAAUAUGUAAGUCCUCUCAUCGUAAAAAUCUUCCAUAUGUGGCCAGAAACACCAUCGUUUAGAGCCGUCAUUGACCUCUUUGCCAAGAGUUCUUGAUAUGAAUCCUUUCCUGUGAGGCAAAGGCUAAUGAUGUUAGAUUGAGUAUGGAAGACCUAUGUUUAGAUGGAAUAAUAACUAUUUUGGUUCGUUUUCAGUAACUCGGAAUCUCUUAGUUUGUAGAGUGGAAAACACCUAUAAUACUGGCUACAGAUAGCACUACUAUUCACACACAUAUGUACAUGCGUACAGUAUGUGUGUGAAAUUAUAUGUCAUACAGAUUAGAAUGGACCUUGUUGUCCCGAAAAUAUAGGAGGAAAAAGAAAAAGAAAAAGAAGAUCCACUGUAGUCGUGUAAAUUUAGUCAUAAUAUCUGCUUUGCUGUGAAGGUAUUCACGUUUGAAGGUUGGUAUGUCACUAACGACUCAUUCAUCUCUUCUCCACUGAAGCCUGGCACCACAGGUUUGUCUGUUAUAUCUCUUCGAUAAAAGGUCGUCGACUCAACCUCCUAUCAAUCGUAGAACACGUCCGGUAAAUUCUAAAUAAGUUAGAAGAGCACCUUG